rnacentral:lncRNA from 1 species
UCUGGUUUUGGUAUUUUAGUUCAGUGGCAUGAACCUAAAAAUCUAGCUAGAGUUGUGGCAAAAGAUUAUCUCAACAAUGAUGCUAAAAUACCUAAGUCUAUCAAAGUCAAUGUUAGUUUGCCUGAGAAGGGUAGAUCCUGGAUGGUUCCAUGUUAUGUUCUGAAAAGACAGCAGGUUUGAAAGGUCCUUGUUUGGUUUUGGUAAUUGAGUGACAACUUAGGUGGACUAAUAGUGUUUAUGUGAGAUACACAGGAGAUUAGUCCACAGGUGAUGAUGUGAUGAUGAAGGAGCUCAUUGCAUAUGAGACAUGACAUGGAGUCAUGUGACCAAGGUGGAGAAGAUCAAGAUGAGGCUUGGCUUGAUGGACCGGUUGCAAGAGUGAAGGGCAAGUCGGAGGCUUUGAAGCGAGGGACCGCGUGUGAUGGUGAAGCUUGAGCAAGACUUAGCGCCGAUGGACCGAGGCAACGGUGAAGAGCAAGUAAGGUCAAGAUCGAUGAACCAAUACGGUCACGUGAUGAUAUGAAGUGGAUCAUAUCAUUUGGUGAUUGGUUGGUGCAUGUGUUGCAUCAACAUUGGAGGAGAUGAAAUGGAAAGCGCAAGGCAAAGGUAUAACCUAGGGCAUUUCCAUUUCACCGGUCAUAGGUGUGUAGAGAAAUUUAUGACCGGAUUUAGGAUAGAUGGCCGUACUAUCAAGAGGGGCAAACUUGUUUGCAUAUCGGUCAUCUAGUGCCACUUGAGCGAUCUAACUUUGCAUACGUGUUAGGAUCGAGUGGCGUGGCAAGUUGAGAGGCUAACUCCCUUGGAAAAAUGUUUGUGAAAAUGCUAACACACGUGCACAAGUGUGGAGACACUUUGGUGUUGGCACAUGGAAGCAAGGGAAGAAGUUGGAGAUCUUUUCAUGCAGCGCGUUCAGGCCGGACGCGUCCGGUAUGAGGUCGGACGCGUCCGAGUUGAGGCACCGGACGCGGAAACAGUUUUCGCGUAGAGUCCGGUGUGCUCCGUCUGGUGAGGUCGCUUUCUCGGUGAAACUCUCUGAGUUUGCGUCCAGUGCACACCGGACGCGUCCGGUGUGAACUAGGACGCGUCCGAGUUGGCGUCCGGUGCAAACCCCUCUUGCAGAGCUCUCUGGGUGUGAGUCCGGUGCACACCGGACCGUCCGGUGUGUGCGUCCAGUGUUGCGACCGGUGUUGGCUCAAGUUUUGCGACGCUCUCUGAGUUUGCGUCCGGUGCAUACCGAACGCGUCCGGUGCCCUGUCAGUGUCAGAGGCAACGGCUAGUUUUCUAACGGUCAAGAGCACCGGACGCUGGACUGCUCAAUACCGGACGCGUCCGGUGUGAACUAGGACGCGUCCGGUGUGGUCGACUUUUGCGCAGUGAAGGGUAACGGCUAGUUUAGCCCUUGGGGCUAUAAAUAGAAGUGAUGGCCGGCCUUGGCAAGUGCUGAGCACCCUUGGGACUUAGUGUCCAUGCUUGGGGAGUGCUAGAAAAGCCUCUAACUCACUUGUGCUUGCAAGAGUGCGAAUCAAUAGCAAGUGAGUGAUUCUAGUGCGUUGCAUUGAGAGAUUGCAUAGAGUGGCACUAGGUGUUCGUGUUGCAAGCCAGUGGUGCUUGUUACUCUUGCAGGUUGCCACCUCCUAGACGGCUUGGUGGCUUGUGACUCCGUCGAAGCACGCAAGGAGAUUGUGCGGUGCUCCGGAGAAGAGAUUGUGAGGGGUACGGUGCUCGCCCCGCGGGGAUCGCGAAGAGCAACUCUAGUUGAGCGAGACGUGAAGAGUGACAAGUGGUCCAGCCGGGUCAAGUGCUAGAGCUUGUGGUAAGCACUCCACGUGGGAUAGCGUGACUUGCGGGUCACCACUAGCAAGAGGACCGACGGCAACCUUGGAGCUUGUCUCAACGGGGACGUAGCUUGGUGGCAACCAAGUGAACCUCGGGAGAAAAUCAUCGUGUCAACUUUGUUCUUCCCGUUGGUUUGCAAGUCCCUAACACAAGCUUGUUCUUACAUUCAUAUACUUGUGCUUCUGUAGUUGCUCUUGUAAUUAGUUAGCUUGUGUAGCUUGCUAGUUACCUUCUUGCUUGUGUAGCUAGAAGUAGUUCCCUUGCGUGACUAAUUUGGUUUGUGUAACCUUGUUAGUCACAUUGCUUAGUUUGUGUAGCUAAGUAAUUUGUGCUCUCUAUUUUGGCAUUAGUUGCCUUGUUUUUGAGCUUGCUAGUGAGCUUAGGCUUUGUGCAUUUUGCCUCACUAGUUUGUGUAGGAGCUCCCCCGGUUUGCAAAGUACUAGUUGCAUAGGUUUGUGUGACCUUGCUUCUAGAUUUGGUUAGGUGAGCUCUUGCUAAGGUAGCACCUUAAUUGUUCGCUUGUCUAGGAUCUUUUACAAGGUGCUAGAGAAUUUAGAUAGAGGGGUGUAGUCUUGGCUAGACCGAUAGUUUUAAUUCCGCAUUUGUUUCGGUUAGCCGGCGUGAUAAGUUUUAGAAAGGACUAUUCACCACCCCUCUAGUCCACCAUCUCGACCCUUCAAGUGGUAUCGGAGCUAGGUCUCUCAUUUGUGGUCUUCACCGACCCGAGAGGAUGGCGUCUAGUGGGAUAGAUGAUUGUGAGACACACAUUUUUGAUGGUACAAACUUUGCACUUUGGAAAAAUCACAUGCUUGAUCAUUUUCGUGCAAAGGGACCUAAGUUUUGGUGGAUUGUUACUAAUGGUCUCACACACAACUUGGACCAUAAGAAUCUCACCAAAGCUCAAAAGGUUCUCUUUGAACUUGAUUGUGAAGCUUAUUUUUAUCUAAUGAAAUCUUUGAGCUUUGAGUUGUUUGAUAGGAUAAACUCCAAAGGAACCGCAUAUGAAAUGUGGGAGUCUAUCAAACACACCUUCGGUGAUUCCUCCACAUGGGAUGAUGGCAAGUUCAAAAAGGAGGAACCAAAGGUGGAGAUACAUGAGGAUGUUGAGCAUGACCACAACAAGGUGGUUGUGGAGGAUUGCUCCACCUCAUGGUCAAGUGAAGAUGAAGAUGAUGGCUAUGAGAGUGAUGCCUCUACAAGCUCAUCCACUUCAUCAGAUUCCUCCAUGUCUCACGGCGACGGCAAGGUAUCUAUUGGAGGUGUGAUUGUUGAUUGUGAUGAUCCAAAUUUUGAGCUUGUAUGUAGACUCACAAAGGCUUUAAGAAAUGAGAUGGCUAAAACAAAUAAAUUAAAAAAUGAAAACUCAUUUCUAAAGACCACAUGUGAACAACAAAAGCAUCUACUUUAUGUUACUACUUGUUCACAUGAGGAGCUAAAAUUGGUUCAUGAGGAACUUUGUGUUACUCAUGAUAACUUGAUAAAAGAUCAUGCUUUUCUCACUAAGAAGAUUUCUAAUGAAGAAAUUAAAACUAGUGAGAGCUCAUCAUUUGGGUCAAAUGAUCAAUCACAUAUUGUUACUAACCCUUGUGAUGUAGGCAAGAAGCAUGUAUCCACCUCUUGUGAUGAUUUAUUAUCUAUGCCAUGUUCUUCACAUAUAGAUGCUUGUUCUACUUCUAUGUCUUGUGAGACUAACCUUUUGACGGAGAACAAUGAGCUCAAAAAUGAAGUGAAGAAUUUGAGCAAUAAGUUAGAGAGGUGCUACUACUCAAAAGUCACCUUUGAGCAUAUAUUGAAGACUCAAAGAAACUAUGGUGACAAAUGUGGCCUUGGCUUCAAGAAGAAGAUGACAAAGGGCAAAAGAAAGCAAAAGAGAGAAAAGCUCUCUCAUUUCAUGUGCUAUCGGUGCCAUGAAGUGGGUCAUCCUGCAAAUGGUUGCCCAAACAAAGAGAAGCUCAAGAAGAAGAAAGAAGAAGAGAGGCUAAAGCAUGUCAAGUGCUUCAAGUGCCGCACUUGGGGUCAUCUCACCUCAGUGUGCCCAACCAAGCAAUUGGUGAAGCAAAAAGUGAAGCCUCAACCAAAGCCACAAGUUGAGAAAGAAAAGACUCCCCAAGCUCAAGUCAUGAUCUACCAUGAAGUUGGUGGUGACAUGGGGAUGAUGAAGAAGAAGACAAGAAGGGAAGGUAGACAAUCAAGAUCAUCAAAAGACCUCUCCCACAUCAAAUGCUUUGAGUGCAAGGACAAUGGACACUUUGCCUCGAGGUGUCCUACCAAGCUUGAGAAGAAGGCUCAAGCAACUCUCAAGAGUCAAGGCAAUGAGAAGCAACAUAUGAGCAAGAAAGAAAAGGCUCAAUCCAAAAAAAGUUGCUACUUAUGCCGGGAAAGGGGACACAUGGCUCAUUCAUGUCCCCUAGGUAAUAAUUCUAAGCCCAUUUCAAUUGAUGACAAUACUAUGCUUAGAAAGGAUGGUAAUGGUACCUCUAUGGUUGCUAUUGCAAAACAUCCCGCUACUCAUACUAAGGCUAUGCCUAAGUAUGUUGCACCUAACUUGAGAGGACCCAAACUAGUUUGGGUACCAUCAAAAAGUGGAUGAUUGAUUGUAGGUACCAUCGGCAUUGGAGGCUUGAUUCAAUUGAUCUUAUAUUAUUCAUCAUAUGAUUGAGUCAAGUAUUGAAGCUUAGUGCUUAUCUCAUCCCAAUGCCAAGUCAAAUAAGUGAAGUCCAAGUGCUACAACAUACAAGUGCAAAUAUUCAAGUUGUGGUGAUUUAUUGGAUUAUUUGAUGGCUUGCAAAUACAUGAGUUGAAGCUUGCAAAUUAGAUGAUCAUGAGAUAAACAAGGUAUAUAUUUGUUGAUCACAUUUAUUUGGGUGCAUAUGAGUUGAUUGAAUUGGAUAUAUAUGCAAUGUUGCUUGCUAUAAGAUGAUUGAAUGGAUUAAAUGGUUAGUAAUCAAGUUUGGAUUGAUUUGAGUUGGAUAAGUUCAUAAGAUGAUACUUAGUAAGUGGAUUGAAUGGAUAUAUGUCUUAUGAAAGUAUUCAAUCAAGUUGAUUUCAAGUUUGGUUCAAUUUGAACAAGUAUAGCUCAAUUACUUGAAAUCUGCCAAAUUUUGAAAAACUGAGCUAGCAGUGAUCAAAUCUGAGAUUGAGUGAUCAAAUCUAUUUGGAAUGGCUUGAAAUUUGGUGUGCAUGCUGUACAUUUAUGAUAGAAUAUGCUGUAGAAAUUUCAUGAGAAUUGGAUAAGGGAUACUUUAGUUUUGGAGUGGAUCUUAUCAGCUAUAGUGCAGCAGUUUUCAGCAUGCAGCAGUGGUGGAAGAAUUGAAAUCUGGUAGCAAUCUAGAAGUCAAAUGAAGAUCAAAUUUUUACAGCUGCUAGAUGACUCAGUGAAGCACAUCUCCACCAAAUUUCAUAAUAUUUGUAUCUGUACAUUGUGAGAUAUGAGUUACUCUUUGAAAGGUACAGAAUCUGCCAGAAAAGUGACAAUUAUUGGAUUGAUCUAGAGUCACUUCAAUUGAAAGGUCCUCAAGUUGGAAACAUGUUUACAAGUGUUUGAGGCACCUAAGUUUGGUUUUGAAUUGAUCUUGAAGCAUGACAAGUAAUGAGUACAAGGUCAUUUGAUUGUGAAAUGUACUUGGUGUACACAUUUAGUACUCAAAUUAAAGAUCAAGAUCAAACUCAAGAAGAAGAUGAAGUUUAAGUUCUAGUGACUAUUGGAGAUCAUUUAGUAGAAAGAAAAGGACUUAAACAAGUAGAAAGAAAAGGACUUAAAGAAUGAUUCAUGGUUACUCAUCAUAUUAAGUCCAUCACUUGAAUCAAUCAAUCAAAGUAAUUCAAGUAAGUAUCAAGGAUGGUUCCUUGGAGAGAGGUCACUUCUCCCUAUGUGAGGGGCGUGCCGCCCGAGGAGUGGGUAAACCAAGUGUGGUGCUUGGAAGGCUAACAUGGAAGUGGUGAUCUAAAGAACAUUUGAGAUGCUUAGUUGAAGCAAUCAAAAUGAUUGAUCAAGAAAGCAAGCAACAACCCAAAAGAGAGCUAGUCAUGCUAUUUCAAGUUGUAUUCUUAUUAGUUCUCUCAUGCAAGCAAUAAUCAAAAGAAGAAGCAAGCCAACCACAACAAAAGAUAGUGCACUUGAUCAUAAAGUGGUUUUCAUUCAUAUGGGUCAAGAUUUGAUCUAUCAAUUGGCAUUUAUAAUUGGUCUUCACCAAGCUUAUUAAUUGGACUUCACAUUGCUAUUGGAGAAAUGAAUUGGAAUCUAUGUGACUAUCCUCUUCUCCAACAUAGCAAAGGUAUCAUUGUAAUGUGCAUGAUCAUUUCAUCUCUUACUAGUAUGAGGUUAGUGCAUAUAGUACAUGCUCAAUAGGAUCAUGCAUAACAAAUGAAAAGUUUUAAAUUCAUAGCCUACCACUAUUGCUUGAAUGAUUAGUUGAUCUAGUGGUAUGUAUAUGAGGUUAUUCAUGAGCUAGUGAACCCAAGUACUUGAUCUAUUUUGGAUUGUUAGCAAGUGACAAGUACAACAUUGGCAAGAUAACCCUUAAUGUGAGGUGUGAAAAAGCUUGUCAUUGGUUCAAACCGGACUUGGAAGCUUAGUCAAAUCAACAUAGUUCAAGUCUACACUUAGAAGCUCAUAAUGAUUAGAGUACAAGAACAAGACAACAAUGCAAAUGGAUAUCUAGACUCAAAUGUUCCUUCAAUUGGAUAUCCUACAAUUGGUACUCAUGAUAGCAAAUGUUCAAGAUUGCAAACAAGUGGUUCCAUACUAGAAGAUCCUUAAUUGAUAGAAGAGUCCCAUAUGAUAUCGGACAAGAUAUUCCAAAUAUCACAUUUAUACAUAUGGUAUCUAUCAUACAAGAAGGUGGUUCCACAAGUGAUCCUCAACUUUAAGUGAUCAUCAAGCAAAGAAAGUUCCCUCACCAACAAGAUUGACAAGUGAAUGACCCAUGCUAUGACAUAAGGGGAGUGCCCCACCAAAUGGUAUCAAGGUCAAAGAUCCUAUGUGGUAUCUCAAGAGCAAUUCAAGUAAUGUCAUUCCACCACAUGGUGAUGUCCAUCAAAAAUGCAAGAUUCAAGCCUCAACCAUCUAUCCCAAUGCAAUCCUUUGUCACAAUGAGAUUCACAUUUUUACAAUUGGUAUCAAGUGAUUUAAUUGGUAUCACAUACCUUUUAUGGAAAUUGAUGACAAAGGGGGAGAAGUUGGAACAAAGAUAUGAUCAUGGGAUAAGUUGGACAACAAAAGAUAUGUUUCAAUGGGGAGAGAUCAAAGAUGGACAUGGACAAGGGAGCAACAUUAAAAGAAAAGAUGAUGGAUCAAAAUUCUUGGACAAAAGAGAAGCACACAAGUAGGGGGAGCAAGCUCAUGAACCUUGUUUGAUUGCAUUUGAUUUGUGCAUAUUCAUGUGCUUGCUUGCAUUGCAUAAGUGUUUAAAUUCAAUAUGCAUGCUUGUGUGGUGUAUGCUAGUUAUAGAACUUGAUUGAUGAUAUGAUAACUAGCAUGCAUAGGUUGGUAGCUAGACUUGUGUUUAUCAAGUAAAAACUAGACCCAUGCUUAUAAUGUUGAUCUCACGGGGUUUCUAGUGUUUUUGUUGUCUAGCUACUCAUGGUGCUAAGGAUGGUGUACAUCGAAUACUUCAAAUGAUAUCGAAUUUGGUAUCAAGCUACAAAGGUUUAUUCUAUACACCUUAGCACUUAGUAGGGUUUUAUGGUGCUUAUCCAAAUCUUGACAUAGAGCUUAAAUGUUGGAUAAGUAGCAUAAAAUCCAAAACAAGUUAGCAAUUUACACUUGUGUGAAGUGCUAGCUUGAAAAAGCUUAAUUUCCAUAUCUUUGUAGAGUUGUCAUCAAUUACCAAAAAGGGGGAGAUUGAAAGGUCCUUGUUUGGUUUUGGUAAUUGAGUGACAACUUAGGUGGACAAAUAGUGUUUAUGUGAGAUACACAGGAGAUUAGUCCACAGGUGAUGAUGUGAUGAUGAAGGAGCUCAUUGCAUAUGAGACAUGACAUGGAGUCAUGUGACCAAGGUGGAGAAGAUCAAGAUGAGGCUUGGCUUGAUGGACCGGUUGCAAGAGUGAAGGGCAAGUCGGAGGCUUUGAAGCGAGGGACCGCGUGUGAUGGUGAAGCUUGAGCAAGACUUAGCGCCGAUGGACCGAGGCAACGGUGAAGAGCAAGUAAGGUCAAGAUCGAUGAACCAAUACGGUCACGUGAUGAUAUGAAGUGGAUCAUAUCAUUUGGUGAUUGGUUGGUGCAUGUGUUGCAUCAACAUUGGAGGAGAUGAAAUGGAAAGCGCAAGGCAAAGGUAUAACCUAGGGAAUUUCCAUUUCACCGGUUAUAGGUGUGUAGAGAAGUUUAUGACCGGAUUUAGGAUAGAUGGCCGUACUAUCAAGAGGGGCAAACUUGUUUGCAUAUCGGUCAUCUAGUGCCACUUGAGCGAUCUAACUUUGCAUACGUGUUAGGAUCGAGUGGCGUGGCAAGUUGAGAGGCUAACUCCCUUGGAAAAAUGUUUGUGAAAAUGCUAACACACGUGCACAAGUGUGGAGACACUUUGGUGUUGGCACAUGGAAGCAAGGGAAGAAGUUGGAGAUCUUUUCAUGCAGCGCGUUCAGGCCGGACGCGUCCGGUAUGAGGUCGGACGCGUCCGAGUUGAGGCACCGGACGCGGAAACAGUUUUCGCGUAGAGUCCGGUGUGCUCCAUCCAGUGAGGUCGCUUUCUCGGUGAAACUCUCUGAGUUUGCGUCCGGUGCACACCGGACGCGUCCGGUGUGAACUAGGACGCGUCCGAGUUGGCGUCCGGUGCAAACUCCUCUUGCAGAGCUCUCUGGGUGUGAGUCCGGUGCACACCGGACCGUCCGGUGUGUGCGUCCGGUGUUGCGACCGGUGUUGGCUCAAGUUUUGCGACGCUCUCUGAGUUUGCGUCCAGUGCAUACCGGACGCGUCCGGUAUGAGGUCGGACGCGUCCGGUAUUUCAAAAGUGAGCGUCCGGUGCCCUGUCAGUGUCAGAGGCAAUGGCUAGUUUUCUAACGGUCAAGAGCACCAGACGCUGGUCUGGUCAAUACCGGACGCGUCUGGUGUGAACUAGGACGCGUCCGGUGUGGUCGACUUUUGCGCAGUGCAGGGUAACGGCUAGUUUAGCCCUUGGGGCUAUAAAUAGAAGCGGUGGCCGGCCUUGGCAAGUGCUGAGCACCCUUGGGACUUAGUGUCCAUGCUUGGGGAGUGCUAGAAAAGCCUCUAACUCACUUGUGCUUGCAAGAGUGCGAAUCAAUAGCAAGUGAGUGAUUCUAGUGUGUUGCAUUGAGAGAUUGCAUAGAGUGGCACUAGGUGUUCGUGUUGCAAGCCGGGGGUGCUUGUUACUCUUGGAGGUUGCCACCUCCUAGACGGCUUGGUGGCUUGUGACUCCGUCGAAGCACGCAAGGAGAUUGUGCGGUGCUCCGGAGAAGAGAUUGUGAGGGGUACGGUGCUCACCCCGCGGGGAUCGCGAAGAGCAACUCUAGUUGAGCGAGACGUGAAGAGUGACAAGUGGUCCGGCCGGGUCAAGUGCUAGAGCUUGUGGUAAGCACUCCACGUGGGAGAGCGUGACUUGCGGGUCACCACUAGCAAGAGGACCGGCGGCAACCUUGGAGCUUGUCUCAACGGGGACGUAGCUUGGUGGCAACCAAGUGAACCUCGGGAGAAAAUCAUCGUGUCAAAUUUGUUCUUCCCGUUGGUUUGCAAGUCCCUAACACAAGCUUGUUCUUACAUUCAUAUACUUGUGCUUGUGUAGUUGCUCUUGUAAUUAGUUAGCUUGUGUAGCUUGCUACUACCUUCUUGCUUGUGUAGCUAGAAGUAGUUCCCUUGCGUGACUAAUUUGGUUUGUGUAACCUUGUUAGUCACAUUGCUUAGUUUGUGUAGCUAAGUAAUUUGUGUUCUCUAUUUUGGCAUGAGUUGCCUUGUUUUUGAGCUUGCUAGUGAGCUUAGGCUUUGUGCGUUUUGCCUCACUAGUUUGUGUAGGAGCUCCCCCGGUUUGCAAAGUACUAGUUGCAUAGGUUUGUGUGACCUUGCUUCUAGAUUUGGUUAGGUGAGCUCUUGCUAAGGUAGCACCUUAAUUGUUCGCUUGUCUAGGAUCUUUUACAAGGUGCUAGAGAAUUUAGAUAGAGGGGUGUAGUCUUGGCUAGACCGAUAGUUUUAAUUCCGCAUUUGUUUCGGUUAGCCGGCGUGAUAAGUUUUAGAAAGGACUAUUCACCCCCCCUCUAGUCCGCCAUCUCGACCCUUCAAGGUUUCUGAGCUCCAAAAUGAAGAAGCUUUUGUGACCUUUGGCCCCUGCAUCCGUAGCCUACACCCCCACCACACUAGAUGGGACGUGUUCCACCGACAGAUCCAAACACCACCCCUAGGGGGUCCAACAGCGGCCCAGACAUUCACCCCCUUGGUGGAGGUUCAGGUAAUCAUUGGCAGCAACAGCUAGCACCUACUAAUUAGGAAAUGCAGCCUGCCUUGACUGAUGGUGGAAGGCACUUGACUGGUGUUCCGUUGAAUGAUGACAAGGGGACUAACAAGAAUGAUGUGAUCAUUGGUAGAAGCACUGGGCACUUGAGGACCUUCAGUAAUCUAAGCUCUCCCAAAGGUGCCAAGCUCAAGUUUGUGAUCAUUGGACCAGCUGCAGCCUAAGACCCCAAGUUUGGCCCAGAUCCCAUGAUCCCAAUCAUCCCAUCUUUAAUCAAAAAGGUAUUAUGUCUCAUUCUGACUAGUAUUCCCCAUUGUACUUUCAAAUUCCUAUCAUGUUUAAUCAUUGAUCACGAUACCCAUGUGCCAUCAUAUUUCUCUGACAGAAACCUCCUUGUUCAUCUUGCAUUCAUCCUAUUUCCUCAGCUAGGUGACAAUGCACUAGAAAAGAUAGCCCUGGACUACCUGGUUGAGGAGGAAGGGGAGGAGGACCCAGAGAUAGUGGUUGAGUAGAAUAGUGAUGAUGAUGAUGAUGAUGAUGCAGUGUUGAAUGCAGCAGCAGGUGUAGAGUAUGUUCAGGAAGACACAAUAAUGAGGGAGAAGGAAGUCUCAGACUUGGAAAUGCUGGAUUGCCCACCCCUAGUGUUUAAGUCAGUAAAAAAGAAAAAGACCAUGAAAAUCAAGGAGAAGCUUGAUGAUGGAUUUCUAAGGCGCAGCAAAAGGGUCUCCCAAAAGUUGGGAUGGUUCAAGACUGAGAAGAGCACACAGAAGCAUGAGAAGACUUUGCAGGAGACAGUGGCAGAAAAGAAAAAGAACAGGAAGACUGCUGAGAAUCAGAAGAAUAAAAGAACCAUAGGCACUAAAAAGCUCAUGACUCGUGAACCAGGUGGAGGAACCCAUCCCUUUAGCCAAAAUCCCCCCGGCUGUUGUGCCACAUCUCCCCAAGGUAGUACUUGAAGGCAUUGAUGAAGGCUUCCUACAAAUACAACCUACGGUCGUGUCUGCUGCCCUUCUCGAGCAAGACAACCUUGAUGAAUAGAAGGUCCAAAGAUAUGGUACCUGUUCUGGCCCACGUGUUGGUACCUUUCAUCUCAAAAACUUUUGCCCUUUUCUAUAGCCAAUGUAUGUACUGGCCGAAUAAAUGUAUUGUGUGCCUUUGCAGCACAAUGAACCUUUUCCUGAAUAUCUACUAUAUGUCCUAUGUUAUUACUUUUGGAGUCCUCUUCUUUCUUUUUGUUCUUACUUGAUCUAGAGAGAUUGUCUGGCCUUGAUUUUAUCAGGCCACUACUGCACUCAUACUGUCAUCUGUAAACAUGAGUAACGAAAACAACAACAAUAGGUCGAUUAAGAUUGUCUUCUCGAAUGUAAGAGGAAUAAACUCAUAGGAGAAAUGGGAUGCGAUAAGAGAUAAAAUAAAGAGAGUGCUUGCCAAGUUCUCUACUUACAAGAGACCAAAAGAGAAAUGUUUGAAAAUUUCUAUAUCAAAAGGUUCUAUCCCAGGAACCUAUACCAAUUUGCAUUCUCCCCUUUAGAUGGUGCCUUUGGUGGGUUAGUGACAAUUUGGAAUAGUAGCAUCCUUGAUGGUACAGUGGUACAGAAGAACUCUUAUGCUAUCACGGUCAAACUCUCUUGCAAAUUUUUUGAUAAAACUUUUCAUGUCUCUAACAUCUAUAGACCUGCAAACCCUGCUCAAAAACAAGGCUUCAUCACAUGGCUCAUGAACCUUGACACCACACUCUUUGAAGACUGGGCUUUGCGGGGGACUUCAACCUCAUCAGAAAUGCUGACAAUAGGAAUAAGCCUGGGGGAGCAUUAGUGAAAUGAACAUGUUCAAUGAGUUAAUCUCUGAUCUUGAUAUGGUAGAAAUCCCUUUUAGUGGUAGAAAAUACACUUGGAGCAAUAUGCAAAUGGACCCCUUACAAGUCAAACUUGAGGGUAUUUACCAACCCUAACUGGACCCUAUCUUUCACUGCCACACAUGUGUAGACUCUCACUAGACCCAUCUUUGAUCAUAUACCAUAUGUGCUACACAUUAGUACCCUUAUCCCUAAAAGAAGGAUGUUCAGAUUUGAGAAUUUUUGGACUAAACACCCUGGCUUAAUGGACACGGUAAAACUUCAUUGGGAGAGCUCACCCUUCUUUGCCAAUGCAGCGAAUCAUUUGUCAGCAAAAUUUAAACAAGUGACAAAAGGUCUGAGAGUCUGGAGUAGAAGUCUUUCUAACCUGAACUAGCUGAUCUACAAUUGUAAUUGGGUCCUUCAACUCCAAGAUGGUCUUGAAGAGCAGAGAAACCUUUCAAGAUUGGAAGAUGCAUUUAGAAGACUUGUCAGACAUCAUCUACUUUCUCUCCAGGAGUCAAAGAUAGCCUACUGGAAAUAGAGAAACACAUUGAGAUGGAUUAAACUAGGAAAUGCAAAUACAUAAUUCUUUCACUCAAUGGCCACUAUCUCUCACAAAAGAAAUUUCAUAGUGUCCCUACUCAAUAAUGAAGGUGAAAAAAUCAUGGAUCAUAAUCAGAAAGCUAAUCUCUUAUGGUUUGCUUACAAGGAUAGAAUGAGUGUAGCUGAAUUCACGGGCAUAAGCUACAAAAUCAAUGAGCCACUACAGUCACAUGACCUGGAGGAACUAGGGAAUGAGUUUACCCAAGAAGAAAUGGAUUCAGUCAUCAAAAGCCUUCCCAACAAGAAAUGUUGGAACCUCAUCAAACCUGAGUUUUAUAAGCUUUUUGGCGACUUUUCCAACCUAAAUAUUGAUCUAAGAAGUAUAAAUUCCUCAGUUAUUGCUCUGGUACCAAAAAAAGGACAAUCUUGAAUCUGUUAAUGACUUCAGGCCCAUCUCGUUGCUCAAUUACUCUCUUAAAUGUAUCACCAAAGUGCUAUCAACAAGGCUUCAGAAAGUGAUUCUGCAAAUUGUCCAUACAAAUCAGUAUGGUUUCAUUAGGGGGAGAACUAUCCAGGAUUGCCUAGCUUAGUCCUUCUAAUUCUUGUAUCUGUGUCACCACUCGAAGAAAGAGAUUGUCAUUCUAAAACUGGACUUUGAAAAGGCCUUUGAUAAGAUUGAACAUCAAGUCAUUCUAGAAGUUCUCAAACAUAAAGGAUUUCUAGAUAAAUGGGUUAGGUGGAUAGAAAACUUGUUAAGCUCUGCGAGCUCCUCAAUACUAUUAAAUGGAAUACCUGGUAAAACAUUUAUUUGCAAAAGAGGUGUGAGAAAAGGUGGUGCUCUAUCCCCACUCCUUUUUGUCUUCGCUGCUGAUUUGCGGCAGACUAUUUUGAACAAAGCUUGCCGAGCUGGUGUUCUCAAACACCCCCUCAGUGAGGAAUUCCAAGAUGACUACCCAAUUGUACAAUAUGUUGAUGACACACUAUUAGUACUCCCAGGUGAUGCUAGAACUCUGUUCAAUCUCAAAGGCCUACUGAGAAGCUUCUCUGAAGCAACUAGGCUACAUGUCAACUUUAGCAAAUUUUUUUUGGUACCUAUUGACGGUCCUUAAGUAUCCAAUAUAAUCAACAAAUAAAUAGAGAAAAGGAUCCAAAUGCAACCGACACCCAGACUUAGGGUUUUAUCUGACAGAAUUCCACGAGUUUUGGUGUUUGUCUAUUUCUGCAGGGGGUUAUCAGGAAAUAUGGAGGAAAGGCCCACACGUCGGGUUUAUAUAGAGAUAUUAACGUACCGCGCAAUUAUCCAACAUCUAGAAGAAUCCAGAAGCUACGGGAACGAGCGGGAGACCGAGCGGACCCGGGGGCAGGGCGCUCGCCCUCCCCCCUUGGGCGCCCGCCCUAGCCUGAGAGCCAAUCAGGCUCCACCUCGUGGAUCAUGCUCCACCGACCUAAGGGAUUAAGGAAAACCGUGCGAUUAAGGUCGGUUUGAUAAAAAACGGUCCAUAUUCAUUUGGAAGGACUAUAUAAGCAGACCCCCUGGCCCCUGGAGGAGAGGACCUCUGAAACCCUAAUUCAUUCAUCCAUCUCUGGAGAAGAAGUCUCUGAUCAAGCUCUGAGCCACCACAUCAACUAGAUCUCUAGUUUAGCAUAGCUACAUAGGAUUAGAACUAGAAGGAGUCAAUCUUCGAUUGGUUUCCAGAUCUGUCAAGAGGAUUCUUGGUAAUUCCUCUACUGUUCUUCAUUUGUUCAUCAUUGUUCUUUAAUAUUAUGAAUAUGACUUUGUUGUACUUCAAUAUAUUGAUUAUGACUUUGCUCUACUUGUUUAUAUUUGCAAUUAUAUUGUUCUUAGUUUAUCAUAGUUAUAUGCUUGGCUUAGUUAGAUUGGAAUUAUAUACAUGUUUAGGAUCGUAUAGCGUUUAUCCAUGUGUACAGUGGGUAAAUGAUAACUAUUGUGUAGGCGUGGUGCCUAUACCGUAUUUAUCUCCGAUUGUACCCUAUAUGCCGGAUCGCGGGGUAGUUCGUGGUAGUGACAGCUCCAUUGAUUCUUAUAUAGUCCCCCUCUCGUGUAUAGGACAGGCAGAGCAACAUUAUUACAGGAGAGUGAUUGCUAUGUUUCUCAUCUUCCUUGAUAAUAUCACUAUGCAUGGGCGUAGUCCUUUCUCACAAUGAUUGCCAAAUAUAAUUGCACUAACUAUGAUAUGCUAGACUUUAUAGUUAAGAAUAACUUAGGAAAUAUUCUUGUAGUUUAUCCUAAUUCCAUGCUAAUGACUUGCUAGAAUAUCUGUUGAAGUGCUAUUCAUUAUUAUAUGUGGUUAGUUAUGCUGAUCAAAUUAAUAAUCUUUAUCACCAUUCAUACUUUAUCUAUAUUUUAUGUGACAUUUAUCCCUGUAUGAAAGAGAUAGAUAAAUGCUCUCUAUUAUACAUGCGAUGAUAGAUACUCAAUUCCAUAUUUCAUUACAUAAUCAACAUUGAUGAUUAGCAAUCCCUUCCUAGUGGUAAAAAUAUAAAUAACGAUACCUGGAAUACUUCCCGGUUAAAAUGUUACAUCGGUAUUAAUCUGUGCGCUUGCAGAUCUCAUUUAUUAUUUAUUCAGAAGAGCAAUUGCAUAUUUCAAUACCGCGUCUCUCAUGUCAUGCUGGGGAUGACAACUUGGCUUAAGUGGCAUGAUGGAUAGGUUUGGCAUUUUUGGCGCCGUUAUCAGAAUUAGAAAACUAAGUCUACUUUUGGUAAUGACGUUAAGAAUGCCCAACAGUACCCAUCAACAUGGGAUCUGAACGAGCUUUCCACCUUGCUAAUACUUUUGGAUGUCAAGUAGGAGAUAUGCCUUUCACAUAUUUGGGUCUGCCUCUUGGAACUAGAAAGCCAACAGUCACCGAGUUUAUGCCAUUGAUGGCCAGAAUAGAAAGAAGAAUAUCUGUAAUUAGUAAAUUCCUUUCUUACAAUAGAGGACACAUCUUGGUCAACUCUGUGCUCUCGGCACUUCCAACAUUUUACAUGUGUUCCCUUAAACUACCUCCACAAAUUAUAAAACAAAUUGACUUCUACGGGAAGCAUUGUUUAUGGGACAAGGGGGACAUUAACAGAAAAGGUAAAUGCAUGGUUGCCUGGGAAACAUCCUGCAGACCCAAGGAUCAGGGUGGAUUGGGCAUUAUUGACACUAAAAGCCAAAAUGAAGCCUUGCUUAUGAAUUUUUUGGACAAAUUCUAUAAUCAUGCAGACAUACCAUUGGUGAAGCUAACCUGGAAUAAGUUGUAUUCAAACACCCAGACCCCCCUCAUGCAAGAAGCAUUGUGGGAUCCUUCUGGUGGAAGGACAUCAUGAAACUUUUCCCAAGCUUCCAAAACAUCUCGAUGUGUGCACCCAACAGAGGUAAUUCUGUGUUAUUUUGGGCAGAUGUUUGGAUUGAUCAGCCAUUAAAGGAUAAAUUUCCCCAACUUUUCUCAUUUACCAGAAAACCAAAGUGCUCAAUCAAAUUUUUCCUCAACCAGCAGGAGGACGCGCUAUUCAGCCCCCUUCCCUUGCCCCCUCUCGCUGCUGAACAACUUGAUGAUGUUUAUGAUAUUCUCCACAGCAGAACUUGGGAUGAAACCUUAUGUGACUCAUGGCUAUACACCUGGGGAUCCUCGGUCUACAGCAGCAAGAAGGCACAUGGCUCUCAUUGGAUCCACUCAAGCUUCCCCUUUUAUUCAAAUGGUUGUGGAAAUCAAGCAACCUAGGAAAUCACAAGUUCUUUUUCUGGCUACUAUUGAGGAACAGGCUUAAUACGAGAAAUCUCCUAAGAAGGAAACGCAUGCAUCUAGAAGACUACAGCUGUGUGCUUUGCAACCUAGGAUGUGAGAAAACGUCUUCAAAUUUAUUCUUUGAGUGCAUUUUCAGUAGAGACUGCUGGGCCUCUAUACCCAUAAACUGGAAUCUUAACCUGAGUCCCCUUGAUAUGUUACUCCAAGCAAGAGAGGCUUUCGGUAGCAUCAUCUUCAGAGAAAUCAUCAUCACGGCCUGCGGGAUCAUUUGGAAAACAAGAAACAGCAUCAUCUUCGAUAACGGCCAGAAGAACUUGCAGCUCUGGAGGAGGCAGUUUAAAGCCAAACUUGGAUUGGUUUGUACCAAGACCAAGCCCCCGAAAAGUGACCUUCUGCUUAGUUGGAGAGAGUCCUAUAUGUAAUCUUUGUUCUUCUUUUUCCUUUUGGGCUUGAUGCCUUGUAACUCUGAUUUGUAUUGAUUCUUUCAUUUAAUUAAAAAAGGUAUGGGGCUCCCCUACCGUUCCGGUCAAAAAAAGUAUUGUUUGUUGAUUUAUUAUGACAGAAAAAUACUACUGGCUGACAGAAAAAAUACGGCUUAUAAGACAAUACACUACUACACAACACAUAAUUCCUGCUGGGUCAUAACAUUGAUGGAUGUGCGUAAGCUGACAGUGAUGCAGCUUCACUGGUUGUAAACCUAGGAUUCAGACAAAUAUUUGUGAUCCGAGCGACCUCGACAAUAAAUCACCUUAUCAUCGUCGUGUUGAUCCACGACUUGACAUGGCCUUGUUCAGACGGUAAAAAUUUUGAAUUUUAGGUAGUGUAGCAUUUUGUUUGUAUUGGUAAUUAUUGUCCAAUCAUUCAUGGACUAACUAGGCUUAAAAGAUUCGUCUCACAAAUUACAGGUAACUGUAUAAUUAAUUUUUAUUUUUAUCUAUAUUUAGUACUUCAUACAUUUGCUGCAAGAUUCGAUUUGACGAAGAAUCUUAAAUUUUUUUAGAAACUAAAUAAGGCCAUUAUUGCCAGCACUACCAGAAUCCGCCUCUUUGCCGAGCGUUAAAUAUUUUGCCAAGUGUUUUUUUCGGGCACUCGGUAAAGGCUUCUUUGCUGAGUGUCAAAAAAAAUACUCGGCAAAGAAGGUCUUUACCGAGUAUUUUUUUGACACUCGGCAAAGAAGCUUCUUUGCCAAGUGUUUUUUUAUGGACAUCGGCAAAGUGCUUCUUUACCGAGUAUCAGAAAAACACUCGGGAAAGAAAAUUUCAAAUCUAAUUUUGAAGCCCUAAACGAAUUCAAAUCGAAAAAGUUUUAACUACAAAGUUGUAUAACCUCUCAAGAUCUACAAUAUUUAUUUUGACCAUUUCUUCAUUUGACAAAGCCAAAAUAAAUUUACUUACAAAUUUUACAUCUCUCUCUUAUAAUUUAUGACACUACAAAAGAGAUAUAUAAGAUUUAUGAAAAAUAUUAAAAUCGCCAUGUCAGAUGAACAAAUGACAAAAUAACUAAAAUAAACUCUAUAGAUCUUCAGAAGUUAUAAAAUUUUGUAUUUGGCAACUUUUUCAUUUGAGUUCAUCUUGUCAUGCAAAACUGUGUUUUUAAUUGAAAAUUUUAAAAUUUGAAUUCUCUAAAUGACUUCGGAUGGAAAAAAUCCCUAAAUAAACUUUGUAGAUCUCAAAAAGUUAUGAAACUUUGUAGUUGACAACUUUUUGUUUUGAAAUUAUCUUGUCAUCUAAAAACUACGUUUGAAUUUCUCAAAUUUGAAAUUCAAAUUUUGUAAACGACCUCAAAUGGAGAAACUCCUUAAAUGAAAAUUGUAGAUCCCAAAAAGUUAUGAAACUUUGUAGUUGACAACUUUUUUGAUUGAAAUCAUUUAGGAUCUCAAAUAAUAAAUUUACCCAUAAUUUGGCAUAAUAUAUGAGAAACCGAAAUGUAAUAUAGACACAAGUGAUAGUGUGGUGUAGUGGUUAAGGAGGGAGACAUGAGAGAGAGGGCAUAGGUUCUAAUCCCAUUUGCCACAAAGAUGCAAAAAAUUCUAUGACUUAGCCAACAGGUAGAUGUUAGUGGUGGGCGUUGGCCUCCUGUGAUUUUUUGUUUGGAUUUUUUUUUAUUUUUAUCUUUGCCGAGUGCUUGAAAAAUAACACUAAGUAAAAACAUCUUUGCUGGCUAAAAAUUUACCGUAUAGUUUUUACCAAGUGUGGCACUCGACAAACGGUAAAGCAUGGAUAUCUGUUAGUGCAGCUAGAGCCAUCAACCCAUAGUAAUACCAGGAAUAUCGCCUGUCGGGUCAGAACACAACUUGACAGUGAUAUAUGCCAAUGUCGGGUCAUAAUUUGACCUAGCUGCAGCAGCACGACAUUACUGGCGGGUUACCGUUUGACCUGGCAGUGUUGUGUGCCCUGUUGGAAUCCAACUGCCACCGAUUACUCUAUGUAGUUAGGGGAGGUCAUGCGGCAAACUAGCUCGAUUUUGAAAUACGAAAAAGAUCUAAAUCCAAAAUGCAAACUACUAUUCAAAACCUCUACUAUUGGCCAAACUACGUGAACACUUGGUCCAAUGUGUAGAAUCUCUUAGCCAUGCUUCAUAAUUGGAAAUAUGGGCACCAUGGAGGUACAUGCCACUCAACCAAAGAAAGAUAUUGGAGAGUAGGUCAAAAUGAGUAUUAAAGACUUCUGAAGAGAUCUGCAAAUCACCGGUAUGACUGUUGAAACCGUGAGCAACAAAAUAAUAUUUUCAUGACAAAUAGAAGUGGUGUGACAGGUUUUUAAUAUGAAAGUCGUUGUCUAACAUGACGGGUCUUGCCACACCAACACCACGACAACAUGGUUUUGUUUCGCUAGGAGUGUUGACGUGAUGAAAAUGGUUAGAAAUUCUUUUUUAAAAAAAUGAGUGUGUCUAUUUUUAAAGUAAAAAUGUUAAAAAAGGAUUAAAAAUAUGAAAAUCUGCUGGUGGUUGUGAGAAACGAGCAUUUCUGGAGAUGAUCAAAUACUUGCACCCUUUUACAUAUUGUUGUUGCUUGUCGAAUAUGGUGAAUCCACAAUCAAAUAUAGAACUCUAUGAUAUUCUAUUGUAAACUUUCCUUGGCAAUGCUCAAUGACCGGUGACACGGAUUGCACAUUUGCAUGGUGUACAUGCAGACAUUGACUACGACUUCGGUGAUGGCUGGGAGGACUAGUUGAUUUUGUCUACGCUCAAGUAUAUGGGGUCAUAGAUUGGGAAUCUGCCUGCUUCGUUGUGAUGCUUGCUUUGUUUUUCGGUAUCAACUUAAAUUCUUGAUGUACUCGGUUCGUACUAGUGUUCAAUCUAUGAUAUUUUGCACUUUAUGAUGAAUGUUUGGAUGUGUGGCGCAAUGGAUGAACAACGAUAACUGACGAGACCAAGAACUAUCACAUAGGUGCAAAGUGGUCUCGAUUUUUGUUGAAAAAUCCUACUUUACUAGCUAUAUGCAUUUAUAUGUUGUGUUUCUUAUCCAUAUGUUGGAUGCACUUCUAUUUAUUCGAAGCAGCCAAUGGAAAAACUCUUCCAUAAAGAAAUGUAAAAAUUUCUAGUAUUUUAGAACAGAUUAAGAAAAAAAGAGAAAUGAUUGUGGCACCUUUCAAUAGGUAGAUGCAAUGAACACUUGCCCUUAAAGUGAUAAUAGAAAUAGCAUGCACUAAGUGUUUUCUAAAUACCAAAUUACGUUGACACAAAUAAGGAAACUAAUUAUUAACGAUGAGGGAUGUAUGGAUAGAUUAUGCUAGAAAUGCCUACAUUUAUAAGAAAAUUUUUAAUGCUGCUAGAAAUGCUUACAAUGCUAAUGGAGUUGAGAAAGUGUAUCCAAUAUUGGGGUUUGGAUAGUCACCGACGCAAGCCAGAGCAACCACUAUAAAUAUGAAUUUGUGUAUGCUCUUUUUCUCACACCAAAUUUAAUAGCCAUGGCAUACAAGAAAGUAGUGCUUGGUCUCUUUACCCUGGCCUUGUUCCUCGUGGCACAUUGUAAGUAAAAUAAUUCUAUGUAAAGAAAUUGGAUACUUCGCAACAUGCCUCAUGCAUCAUGCAUCAUCAUUUAUCAUCUUUGGAGCGAGUACUGCUAACCUAUCCUCCUAUUUAAAAUUUUAUUCUGUAUAUAUGUCCCUAAUCAACCAAGAUCUAUAAUCAUAUGCGUAGAUGUGGAGGCGGUGGAUGUGUGCACGACGAGGAACUGGUAUUUCUAUGGCCCGUGCAUGAGCAACAAGAAUUGCGCGGCUUCGUGCAUCCAACAUGGCAUUGGCGGCGGUGGCUACUGCUCCCCCUGGAGACGAUGCAAAUGUACACUUCAGUGUCCUUGGAGAAAAAUGACGCUAGCCGGGAUCGGGUUGACACAUGGCCGGGACAAGCCGGAACCCUUGGACAAACCUAGCAUGGAACUAUUCAACUGAGUGUUGCAUAUAUCUAUAUGAAGUUCACCGAUGGAAUUGAAUAAGAGAAUAACACCUGUAGUUAUGAUGUUGUAAGCAAUAAUUGCGCAAAAAUAAUUUAGAAACGAUGAACCAACCUGGCAGUAUUAUUUUUGUUGUGAGCAUCUGCAGCAAGGCCAAUAAGGCCCCUAGUAUAUCUUUUUUAACUCUUCUACUAAUGAAAUUUUUGUCAAUCUUUUCAUGUGACUUUGUUUUAUCAAUUCAAAAUUUGAAUUUUAAAAAAUAUCAACUUGAAACAACAUUUUGAAAUAUUAAAUGUUUUCAUCUAAAAAAUCAUGAAUAUAAAAAUUGUACAACUCAUCAAAAUUUAUAAUUUUUAUUUUNNNNNNNNNNNNNNNNNNNNNNNNNNNNNNNNNNNNNNNNNNNNNNNNNNNNNNNNNNNNNNNNNNNNNNNNNNNNNNNNNNNNNNNNNNNNNNNNNNNNGUGAGCCGAAACCCAAUAGAUAUGAAGGAGCUCUUUAAUACAUAUCCUCCAUCAAGAUCUACAUCUAUAUGGAGGAUAGGUAAAAUUUAUGAAUAAUGUUACUAUCACUUUCACGAAUAAAGAAACGACCAAAAUAAAAAUUAUAGAUCUUGAUGAGUUAUAUAACUUUCUUGUUCAUGACUUCUUCAACUGAAAUCAUUUACUCUUUCAAAAUGUUGUUUCAAGUUGAUAUUUUUAAAAUUCAAAUUUUGAAUUGAUAAAAUAAAGUCACAUGAAAAGAUGACCAAAAUAAAAGUUGUAGAUCUUAAAAAGUUAUAGAAGUUUGUUAUUUUCAAAUUUUCCAUUUGAAAUUAUUUUGUUAAGGAAAACUACGUCUAAAUUUCUCAAAUUUAAAAUUCGAAUUUUUCAAAUGACCUUGGAUGGAGAAAUAUCAAAAACAAAAUUGUAGAUAUCAAAAAGUUAUAUAACUUUAUAAGUUGACAACUUUUUUAUUCAAAUCAUCUUGUCAAUGAAAACUACGUUUGAAUUUCUUGAAUUUGAAAUUGAAAUUUUAUAAACAACUUCGGAUGGACAAACAACAGAAUAAAAGUUGUAGAUCUCAAAACACUAUAUAACUUUUUCAUUUGAAUACGUUUUAGAUCUCAAAUAGUCAAUUUAAAUAUGAGGUGGCCCAAAUUCAGUAGUCACAAGUGAGUGUGAGGUGCAGUGGUAGAGGAGGGUAGGCAUGAGAGGGAGGUUCUGUAGGGGUGGCUGGCAAACUGCCCCUACAAAUUGGGGAUUUCUAGCAACGGUUUGGUUGGGGCGGUUGGCAAAAUGACCCCUACAAAUGGUCUUGAAUUGCCCCUAAAAAUCAUAGUUGUAGUAGUGAAAUCAUCAAACUCAGGCACAUGAAGAUAACAUAUCCGUAGUUUGAGCUUGUUUGGAUCAUGACCACAACUUGUCAUGUCGCAAGUCAGGCAUGCCAUAGUUUCUUAGGUGUGUGUUUAGUUCGCUGCGGUAACUAGGGCACACCACACUUGCUUAUUAACACCAUAUUCCACACAUCAUAGACUCAUUUUCUUCCAAAACUUUGGCACUAGUAUGCCUUCUUCAUUUUUGUUAGCCACACUUUUUAUGGCUGUCACAGUUUGCCAAAAGCUAGGCUUACAAAGUUUUAGCUUGAACCAUUCUUCUUAGGCACAUUCUCAUUAUUUCUGACAAGUUAGAUAUAGUUGUGUCUUCACCUAGAUGGAGGCCCUAGGCGAAGGUGAGAGGGCUAGUAGGUGGGUCCAUAAGCAAAUAGGGUUUCAUAACUGCACUCCCCAACCUCUUUGUACAUAGGGUCCAGGCCCCUUUUUAUAGGGCACUACUUGCUAUUAUUUUACUUUACAUCUUUGCCCCUUGAAAGCUAGGGUACAUUCAUGGGAUAUUCCCAUGUUAAUAUGAAUUGCUAAGGGUAGCUCACGUCUUCUCCUCUUCCACCGCCUUUGCCUCUUAGGUUGUGGCCAUGGGCUCACAUGUGUCCCAAAGCUUGACAUCACAGCUCCAUAGGAGCCUCAUAGUAAGCGCAGGCCUUCUUGGGUUCUUCGUAGCCUCCACCUAGGACACCACAGCCUCGCUCUUUCUUCCCAAAGCCUCCACCCUUCGGCCACGCCAAGGGGCCUCCGACAUCAUGUUAUAGGCUCUAUCCAUCCAAAGGGUGAAGGCAAAGACUCUGCCUAGUACUACAGCACAACAUCACAUAAGUGUUUUGUAAACCAUUGAAAGGGUAGUGUUCUAGCCUCCGCUACACAUCUAUCAAUGUCUCAAUAGUUCCUACCUUGAGGGUAUGGUCUGAUGUGGGUAGGCCAUGAAUUUCAAACUUUGUAUUGAUAUCAAGUAGCAUAGGCUUCCCCCUUUCCCCCUAGGUCACCUGUAUCGAAUCAUUAGAGUUAUGAUGUGUCAUGGUUUGACUAGUUGUGGUGCCUCCAGAACCAAUGUGUUUGUGAACAGUGUGACUGUUGGUGCUUGGUAGUCAUGGCAUCCAUCCAGGGGCCACAACCUAUAAAGGAGGGCAGAGGGCACUUCCCUCAUUCACAUAUUCUGCCAUCACUUUCCUUUCUUGCUCAGUUUUCCUUUCUUGCAAUAUGUACAUGCUUUUAUGUUGUGUCCUAGAUUUUCUUUGUGCCACCACUUCUCCUUUUGGCAUACUCUAGUCUCCAAAAGUGGCUUCACCUUCUAGUUUGGAUCUCCAUUAGCCUUUGCUUAGUGGCCCUUAUUCCCGCUUGGUUGGUGUGAGGGCUGCUGGUUGGUCAAAGAGGUUCGAGGAGUGCAUGACUAUGUCUAUGGAGGCUCAAGAAGACCUUGAGAAUACUAAAGCUUGUGUAAAAAAACUAGCCUAGUGGCAAAAUCAUGGGGCUUUGGGCCUUUGCUCAUGACUCAGGGUGCCAUUGAGGCCCUUGAGAAGGAGGCUAAUGAAGCAAUUGUUUUUUAAGAAUUUCUUUUCUUACGAUCUUCGUAUUCCACAUGUGUACUUCCUUUGAGUGGUCCUUAAGACAUUCAAGGUACAACUCCAUCACCUUACUCCCAAUGGGAUUCUGACUUUGAGCAAGUUCUAUUAUGCUUGUGAAAUAUAUGGUGCUACACCUUUUGUCCUUAUUAUGAGCUUUAAUGCCAACCAAAGAAGGCAAAAGUUGAUGGGGUUGAGGUGAAGUAUCAGUUUGCCAGUUGCACCUUUAUGGCAAAGAGAUCACAAAAGGGUAGCAGUUUAGAGAUUUCCUUUUCCUAGAAAAAUAAGUAGGAGAAUGAUUGGGCAUGCUAUUGGUUUUAUGUGAUGACCCCUGGUGUUAUGCCCAACAGUAGACCAAAGGUCAAGAAGUAUCCUUUUGUUCCACUAUGGGGGAGAUGAGGCACGCUACUUGAGUUAGGCCUCCGACUAAGAUCAAUGAUGAUCGGGCAGUUAUUGGUAUUUAUUAACUUGACACUUGUUUAGCUAUAGUCAAAGCCCAAGUUUGGUUUUAGAUAAUUGAUGAAACCCAAGUACUAACCUCUAUGCUAAGUGUGUGAAUUAGAUGAGGUUGGUACAUACCAAGUGGUCGAGCAAGAGAUGAUCAUGGUGAUGAUGGUGAUGACAAAGAUAUUGCUUUGGGUAUUGGUUUUAGUGAUCAAAACACCAUAGAGGGUGUCAUCACACUUAGGAUACAUAGUCACACUAUAAAGAGGGGAAUUCUUUGGCUAAGCGAUCUAUUGAGUACCACUUAUAUUGUUCAUGUGCAUGUAUUUAGAACCUAAUGAGCUAACUCAACUCCUUGAAGAAAAUGUUUGUAAAAUGCUAACACACAUGCACAUGAUGGUUUACACAUGGUGGUGUUGGCACAAUUACCAAAAAGGAGUUUGAAGGGUAGACAGGGGCAUUUUUGUGAAAACAAAAUGCUUAUUUUCUACUGCACUAGAGAGACUUGAUCGGGUGGCAAAGUUGUGGAAGUAUUUCUCACUAAGAAAUACACAUCGGACGUAGUAGGCAUGGGCACUGGACGUUGGGCAUGCGUUCGGUCAGUACUGACUUGCAACACGCAGAGAGUAUCACCUAGGGUUGAGCACGAGAUGUAGGGACCUACGCGUCCACUUAUUUGUUGAGAACAUCAGAUGCUGCUGACUACAUGCUGGGUGAACACUAUUCAUCAUCCAAUAAAGAUGGGGUGUUGCACCAGACACUGUUGCACCAAACACUAGGGUGCAUUAGGUUAGCAUGCAACUAGACAUGUUUAGUGUGAGUUUGAGUGUUUUGGAACUCUAUGAGUAGCAAUCGGACGUUGGGUGUUAAGUCCGGUCGGUAUGUCCGGUGUGAACUUAACCAUUGAGAUCUAACGCGUGAUGUUCAAAGACAGAUGACACGUGGUAGCAAUCCGAGCAUCAUAUGCUAGGGUCUGCGUUUGGUUGAUUGGACCAGAGCAUCUGAUGGCUCCAAUUUCUAUGUAAACACAGAGCCAAUGACUCUAUUUCUUUGAGGUGCUUAUAAAUAGUGUUUAGCCAGCUUAGGGCUCACUCUCUUGGCACUUUGACAUACUUGACAUUAUUGUGAGCCUAAGCAAACACCUCCCACUCAUCUCCUUCAUAGGUUCACCUUUUUUGUGAGAUUAGGAGUGAUUCUAAAUGCAUUUGCAUGAGUGAUUGUGUCGACGGUGUCAAUAGGGGGUACCCAAAUAGACAUCUCUGACAAAGGAUCAAAAGCUAACCCACGAGUCAGACUCGAUGCCCCUCUCCACAAACACGUGCCGAUCAAUGCUCUAAUUCAACCCAUAAUGUGCACGAUGAUUGAUCCUGGUCUCGAUUACGAAAAUAGGACUGGUGGGUUCUUGAUCACGUCGUAAUUCCAAUUAUCAGGGCGCGCUUUGAUGAGCCAUCCGGUGUAGGAGGGGAAGAGACUGUCGUCAUUUUGGAGAUAAACCCACUGAGAGUCCCACUGGGCGUGAUUUGACGUCAACCCAGUAGGGAUGUACUCGCGAGGCUCGUCCGUGUGCCCUGACUUUUGCACCAGGUUGCCGCAGCUGGCCCGAACCAGUCUCCUCACUCUGGUGGUACCGCUAGGAGCAUGGAAUAGCUCCCCCGGAAGAGGUGAAGCCACAGCUCCCAGUGUGGCAUCACCCCCAAGUAGCCUUCACACACCGCGGCGAAGAUCGCCGCGUUGGAAAUGGCGUUAGGGGAAGGUGUUGGAGUUCAGCUCCAUAGUGGUGGAGAAGCACCCUCAUGAAGCAGCUCGGGAGAGAUCCGAGCCCGUGGUGGUGGAAUUUGAUAAGGAUACCAUGUAACCUUCCGGCGGACUCAGCUGGUGUUCCACUGGCGGUGCGAUCCACUCCGGCCAUGUCGGGGAGGUAGCAGGACGGAGGAGCCCCCCUCCCACCAAAUUCCGCAACCAGCGCUCCGUCACGAUCGACGGGUGCCAGUCGUCGGGGACGGUCAGCUUCACCGGCAUGGUUGACAAAGGUGGUGGCACGAUGAAGAUGGUGGGGAAAGUUUUUUAGCUAUCUCGUUUCUCCUCUCUCGCUGGAUAUAUUCUUCUCUGGUAUGCAAGUAAGUAUGGGAAGGAAGGAAGAGGAGGCAGUGGCGAAAGGUGGAAGGGGAAGCAACAGGGCGGCCCCUCGAAUAUAUAGACGCGCCGCAAUGUGAAGAUCCGACAAUCACGGUAACUCCCCUCCCUAAAUGCACCGCCUAACGGUCUCGAUUUCCCUGCGAUAGGACGUCGCGGUUUACACCCAGGCAGGAGGGCGUUACAAUGGCUCUCUCCUAAAAAGACGCACCCAACAGGCAAGAAGACAAACCACUGCAGCAACUCCUUCCACCACAAGGUAAGCCCAGCCCUAGCCAUCGAUGAAACCUCGAGAGAACGCAGACUGACCCGCCGAUAGGGUUCGGUGGUCACUCUCGAGUACCCAAGUCAGGGACACCCAGAAGGAUUUCGAAACAAGGCAUAGCUCAAAAGCUGAUCCUCGAGAUCCUACUGGGAGUAUCCAAGGCUGAGACUAACAGACCGACGAGGAAUCCCCAUGGAGGGAGGCAUCGAGCCGCUGGACCCUAUCGAGCGAGGCCAGUAUCCUCACCCGCACUAGCCUAGCUUUAAUGAGAACGCCUCCGGACUACAACCAACCCUCAUCGAACGGGGCAUGGGUUCUCGCUUGGAUUUCCCGAUAACAGCUCACAAAGGAUGAUGACGCUCACCCCAUUGGGCGUACGUCACGCUCCACAUCACGCGACCAAAUGAAAGGAAUCACAAACGUAGGCUGGCAUCAACAAAACCACGAACAAAGGCUCGGGGGCUCUACCAGAAGUCGACACCCCUAAACGGAAAGAGAGUCAAAAAUAAUUAGACCAAGGGAUAAUACAGCCCUCAAAGGAGUCCACUGACUCCUCCGAGGCCUCAGGGGCUACCCCGCGGGGGUCGCUCUCACGCCCCCCAUGGAAAUUCGAUUGUUAAAAAGCCACUGCUCGAUCACCAAUGCUCGAGCAGGGGCUCGGGGGCUACUAUCGAGGGUGUUAAUAUGGGUUUCCCAAACAGACAUCCCUGACAAAGGAUCAAUAGCUAACCGGCAAGUCAGACUCGACACCCCCCUCCACAAACACGCGUCGAUCAAUGCUCUAAUUCAACCCAUGACGCGCAUGAUGAUCGAUCUUGCUAUCGAUUAUGGAAACAGGAUCGAGCGAACGGUUAAAGGCUCAAAACUAGACAGUCCUCGACUAUGGAAGUAACGUUGAGCAAACCAACCAACCUCGAGCGCAAAAGUGCGCCCCCACUGCCUGCCAUGGGUACGGGAUUCAGGGCAUUUAAUGCGACUGACAGGUUCCCACCUAACCCAAUAGGCACGUCAAACAUGAUGAUGGGUCGUGCACCCGUAAAAUCCUGCUUUUUCUCGACUUUGUCCUCAAAAUCGGGGAAAGGUACGUGCAGGUACUAUUACAACAGGCGUAAUGUCCCAUCAAGAGGCCCCUUGAGACGUGGUAGUCAGCGCUCUUGUACACGGACGCCGCCUAGACCGCCGGAACCUCGAACCUGCGUGCUCCUUCCCAUAGAAGGGUUGAGUGAUGGAAGUCAGCGCUCAAACCACUCCCGACACGAUGUCUACUACAACAUACAAGCAUGCGUAUUCACGAACCAAUACCAGACGAUGUACAUGAGAUAAGCUCAGGAGGUGCGCGCGCCAUCAUCACCAAGUACACUAUAACAAGAUAGGUACACUAUACAAGCUCAGGAGGUGCGCCAUCAUCAACUCGAGGAAGUACACUAUACAAGCCUCGAGUAGACCCACACCAUACCCCUAUCGAGGCCUACUCUAGCACCUAUGCACUAUAACUUUGAGCCUCCCCUUGGACUAUAAAAGGGGACGCUAAAGCCAAGCUAGAAGCGGGGGGGUAACACAAACAAAGCAUAACUCGUACGCACACUCCACGUACUUAGGACUUAGAAUCCACAUCGAAUCUCUCUUAUAUUCACCCCUGUACAAGCACUUAGGUGCAAGAUAAUACAUACUCUCUCCCCCAAUGGACGUAGGGCCUUCUUUCGCCUGAACCAGGAUAAACCCUUGUGUCCAUCUUGCAUCACCAUCUGGAAAGGAGAACACGAACACAAAUUCACUCAUUGGUGUUAACUCCUGGGGUUAAAACACCAAUAGUUGGUGUGCUAGGUAGGGGUAUUGAGUGUUCACUGAUGAUUUUUCUACCUAUUUUCUAGAUGGCUUCCCUAAUUUUGCUGAUUCCACGUUCCACAGUGAUUUAGUUUGAGAGCCUCAAGUUCAUGUCCACCGGCUUCAGCUUGCUCUCCGUUGGAGGGUCGGAGGGGACCCACGUUACGCCCGCACGUCCAAGAGCCGCGCGUCGACCUCACCACCACGCCUCCCGGUCCAAGAGGAGGCGCGAUCAGCACCAUAACCACCACUCCAUGGCUGCUACGCGAUCGCUGCCCCACGCAGGACAGCUGGACCCCUCGAUUGCGGGUCCAUCAGCUCCACGCCUCAGGACAGUGGCCAAGCCGGCCAGCCAAGGGAGUGAUCGUUGCUCGACGGUGCCAAGGGAAACCAUCCCCCACGCACCUUCACCGCCAUCCGCCUUGCUACCUCAUGGAUUGUUUGCCACCAGGCGAAUGCUUCCGUUCAGCCUCGAUAACACCACCGCCUCCUCUGCUAAAACAUUCCGCCCCAACGCCAAUGCACACAUAGGGCAGCCACUAGCCCUCACGUGUAGCGUAACGACACCACAGGAGGCCCCCUCAUCGGCUGGAAGCCCAGGCUUUCCACAGAUAUGCAGGCCUCGACCUCUUGGUCCAGGACGCUACACACUCACCACGCUGAGACAACAGCUGGCAGAGGAGUGGCGCGGAUGUUUCUACACUGCUACAGAGCCCAACCCCGACUCUAAGUCUGAUAGCUAUGAUCCCAUGAGGGAGUGCUUCAACAUCGUAGAUGGAGCCGUGGCCACCACAGACGACACGGAGGACAACGGCAAUGCUGCCGCCGCUCCAGCAGCAAGAAUAGACCCUAGGACUCCUGGGCACAAAGGACAGGUAGACCCUCCUCCCCCUCAAGACGAUAAGGCCGUGCAGCUCAUGCAAUUGCGCGAGUUGAAGGCCAAACUUGAAGAGGAUCAGGAGCGCCUCAACCAGCUAGAGCAGGCUCUCGAGCAAGAUCAAGCGCACCCGCACGGUGGAGGCGCCUGAGGUUGCGCUCGACACAUCUACCGACAGAUCAUCAAAGACGGAGAACCAGAAUGCCUUAUCAGUCGUUUCUCUCGAGUGGGCUAGAACAUAGUGGCAGCAACCAUGUUGCUGUGCAAUAUGCCCGAGCCCUCAAACUCCCAAGAACGACGCAUAUAGGAUGAGAUACAGGGCCUACUCCACAUCGUGGUAGCCCAGCAGGCUGAGAGCUCGGCUUCCCGACGUCGAUGGCCAGCCACGGAGAAACGCCUCGAGCCAAUGCAACAUGAGAGGGAGGUCUCUGUCCACCAAGAACCUCCCUCUCGAGGCAAGAAGGCAACCCCGGUCUAGGAAGGCCUCAUCAAUAACCAGGAGUCGCAUGACCCAUGUUGACGGUCCUUAAGUAUCAAAUUUAAUUAUCAAAUAAACAAAGAAAAGGAUCCAAAUAAAAUCAACAUCUAGACUUAGGGUUUUAUCUGACAGAAUUCCAUGAGUUUUGGUGUUUGUCUAUUUCUGCAGGGGGUUAUCAGGAAAUAUGAAAGAAAGGCCCACACGUCGGGUUUACAUAGAGAUAUUAACGUGCCGCGCAAUUUUCUACCAUCUAGAAGACUCCAGAAGCCACGGGAACGAACGGGAGGCCGAUCGGGCCCGGGGGCAGGGCGCCCGCCCAAGUCCCUUGGGUGCCCGCCCAGCUAUAGUAACCAAUCAGCUUCAACUUCGCGGAUCAUGCUCCACCGACCUAAUACUUCAAGGAAAACCACACGAUCAAUGUCGGUUUAAUCCGAUGGCCCAGGUUCACUUGAGGGGACUAUAUAACCAGACCCCCUGGCCCCUGGAGGAGUCACCCCUUGAUCAUUAUUCAUUAUUCAUAGACAGAGCAAAAGCUAGGGUUUAGAGAUGAGAGUUCUCCUCUCUUCUCUAAACUAGAGUAGAUCUAGAUAGUAGCAAGAUGGAGAGCGAAGGAGGAUUAGAGGAGAGGCCGGCCUGUCGGUUCUUCCUCCGGUUGUACUUCGUCAUGAUCAAGCUCUAAUCAAGCUUGCUCAUGGGAUGACUCUGGUAAUCUACUUCUAAUUCAUUAUGCAAUUACUAAUUAUGUAUGUUCUGGUUCACAACUCUUUUGAGUAUUCUAAUCUAUAGGACGCUAUAGGUGAGAGUUGUAGUAUAGGUGUAAGCGUGGUGCUUAGACCUAGAUUACUUGUGGAUAUCCCCUGUCUAGCUGGAUCGUGUGGUAGGCCGCGUAGGUGACAGUUACGUUGGUCUUCUGUAGUCCACCUCUCGUUAGCAGGACGGGUAGGGUUUAUCGGCCUAAGGAUAAGCAUCCUUUGUGGUGUACUCUUAUCACGUGGUUCGUCCCAGAUAUAGACAUACCCCUUUGAAUUAGAGAAACCAUAGUUAUACUCUCUAUUCUGCUACCAUCGCCCAUAUAUUAGUAUUGCUCUAAUCUCUAUUCCCAUAUUAUCACUCACUAUUAUCUUACCUUUAAUAUUGUUCUUAUUCAAUUCUACCAUCUUUCCUAUUCACACCUAUCUAUCUAUCUUGGUUAAGUUAGAGCAUAGUUGGUUCUCCCGUUUCCCUGUGGAUACGAUAAAACCUUUAACCGGGUAAAAGCUUCAACGGUAUCCGUGCGCUUGCGGAUUAUCUGUGUGCGUAUAAAUACCAUAGUACACUCUAGUGCCAUGAUGGGGAUGACAACCUAGUAUUCAAGUGGUGUUAGCAAGUGUCAACAAGCAUUUUUGGCGCCGUUGCCGGGGAAACGGUUGCUGAGUUAACUACGAACUAGCUUAAUCAUUUUCUAAAAAAAUAAAAAAAAAUAAUUUCCUUUUAUCCUUUGCCUCAUCUCUGCUAAUCUUUCUUCUUAUCUAAUCCUUGAUCUCUGGUCUAUCAUGAAUUCAAACAUGUCUAUCUAUGAAUUUCAUAGACCUACGGGCACACAUCUCGAACCACCAAAAUCUUCAAAGCCUAUCAUAGCAUCUAGUUUUGAGAUAGACCCCGAAUACAUAGAAUUUGUUCAAAAACAACCUUUCUCAGGAGAAGGUGAGGAAAACCCAUACACACCUAAGAGAGUAUAACACCCCAAAAUUUUUAUUUUGGGUUGUUAUUAUAAAUCAAUAAAAAAAUAAAGGGUUUUAAUAUGUCGAUAAAAUUUGCCAACAAUAGUUUAGAUUUCUAUAUAUUUUUAUCGAAGAAAAAUGAUGCUUUUCAAAUAUUUUGGAAUUAAUUAGACGAGCUUUUGUUGAUGUGAUGCUUGUCUAUUACUUGAGUUUAUUAUUUUUAUGUGUGCUAAGAUUUUUAAAAAAAACACGUUUAGACGUCGUCCAAUCUUUCCCGAGAAUUUUUUCGAACCUUCUCGAGACUUUUUUCCAUUUUCCUAAAGCAAAAAUCUAAUUUUUGGAUGCUCUAAAAUUCUUUUUUUUAUAGACACCAAAAACUUUAUUUCAAUUGAUCAACUCUCAAUAUAUCUCUAAAAGUUUUCCUUUAAUUUUUAGAAUUUUGGAAAUAUUUUUCAGGGCUUUAAAAUGAUUUCAGCUUUUUCUGGAAUUAUUUUGGAACUGAAAAUGAUUUAUUUAAAAUCCCAAAAUUAAGAAAUUCCAAAACUUUUCCAAACCCUAGACCUAUAUAUAUGCCGGCGUAGCCCUCGACGCGCUGAUUCCAGAAGUACAACCCUUAUUCCGAGCCGCCGCUCGUAGCCCCGCAGAUCCAUCGCCGAAGUUUCGGAUCUCGUUUCCGACGAACUUUUCCGGCGAAAGUUCGGCGAGCGUUUCCGGCCAACUCCGGCAUCCUCUGCGAAAACCGUCACCGCUGCGAGGUUCGUCUCGUCAUCCUCUACACCGGCACGCCAUCCUUUUCUCGAAUCCGUGCUCGUUUAUUGUUCCCUAACCUUUCUCUUUCUUUUCCGGUGAGAAGCACCAUGGCCAGCUAUCUCCUUCGACUCCGGCCGCCCGAUGCCAAUCCAGCCUCCACCCAAUGGCAUCUCCUACGCAUCUCACAGCCCUGUGCUCGUGGCCCCCUUUUUCCCGAGCAGCAGCAGCAGACGUUGCUGCUCAGCCAAGUUGCGGCCGUCGGCCAUGCCCGCGAGCCGUGCGGCCCGUAGUCGGCCCCACCACCGCGGCCCGGUGGGAUAGGCGCGCCGCUGCCACCGCUAGCCUGCUGUCUAGUCGAGCCCCUCCCUUCCCUUCUCGGUGCACAGCAGCUGCUGCUUCCCAUCUCCAACUUGGCCAGCGCCGUUCACGAACAUGACUAAAGAAGAAGAUCAUGGUAUUUACGUUUCUGCCAUUCAGUUGUUAAUUUCCGUCAUUUAAUCGUUUUAACUCCGAUUCGAGUCGUUCUAGUUGCGUUAGAUUCAUGUCGUCGUGUUCUACGCAGUAGUACAAAUGUUUAUUAUGCAACUUGUUUAUACAUUUAUUAAUUUAAAUGUAAUUUGUUUAAUAUUUAGUUAAUAACUUUCUAACUAAAAAUAACCUAGGGUUAUAAUUCUGUUCUUGUUGCUACGAUGUAAGUUAUGAUCGUUGCCAUGUUAUGUGUUUAUAAAUUUACUCAUAUGAAUUUGAUUAAUGAAUAGUCAAUUCUCUUCUAAAUUAAAAGCAACUUAGGAUUAUAAUUUCAACUUUUAUAAAUAAAUAAAUGGUAACGCCGUUAAUAUUAGCUUAAGUGUUUCUUAAGUACAAUUUAUUUAGCCGUUAAUAUUGGCUUAAGUGUUUCUUAAGUACAAUUUAUUUAGUUAAACAUGAAGCAUGUAAUUAAUUUGAUUAAUACCAACUUAAAUGUAUCUUUACUAAAUAUAAUUUGCUUAGAUAUACACUCUGCAUGAAAUAGUCAAUUAGUGCUCUCAUAUGUUCUAUGUUUUGAAUUUAAAUCUUAUUAGUUUGAAUAAUAAAAUAUUUAGCGCAUUUUAUAUUUAUAAAAGGAACUUAGAUUUAUAAACAUCAGUCUUUUAUAGAAUAAAUAUUACCUUGGUUAACACCAGUUUGAAUGUGUUUUAAGUAAUUAUAAUUUGUUUAGUUAAACGUGAAGCAUGAAAUUAAGUUGGUUAAUAUUUAUUCAAUGUCUUUUUAAAUUAAAAGUAAUUUAUGUUUAUCUUCAUUCUUUUAUAAAUAAUAAAUGUUAGCUUGAUUUAUACAAACUUAAAUGUUUCUUUGCCAAAUAUCAUUUGCCUAGUUUAGUCACGAAACAACGAAUCGACUAAUUUUUAUCAUAUUUUUUGUGCUUUCCAAAUUAGAAAUAUUUAAGUGACUUAAAUAAUGUUAAAUGUUUAUAACUACAAUAUGAUUAAGGUUUGUAAAGGUUCUUUCUAAAUAAAACAUAAUUUGAUUAAUGAUUGCACAUGUUUGUUUCUAAAUAAAAGUAACAUAUGAAAAUAUUGACCUUUUUAUAAUUACUUGUCAACUUAAAUGGGUAUUUAUUAAUUUUUAAUUUGCCUUGUUCAAAUAUGAUCAUAUAAAGUAGUUUUAGAUGAAUUUGAUUAGUAUUUGUUCUAUGCCUUUUUGAAUUUGUAGUUUAGGUUUAUCUCCGAUCUUUCAUAAAUUAUAUUAAUUAUAUAAUAUCAACAUAAAUGUCUUGUCAGUGGUGAUUUGCUCAGCUCAACUUUGAAAAUAAAUAGUGAUUCUAAUUAAGUUGUUCUCACUUGUUUUAUAUUCUCUAAGCUAUGAAUGCUAAAAUAGUCUAAACAAUUUCUAUAACUAUUUAUAAAUAGAAUAUGACUGGAACUAUACUUUAUCUUAUAUAAUUAUAGUUUGUUUAAUUUCACUUUAUGAUAUUUCUCUUAAAAGUCUAUCACCUAUUUUCAUCAAAUAAAAUAGAUCAAGCGAAUAGUUGAUCUUCUUCGUUGCACUUCGAACCUCGAAAGCCAUGUUCAUUUAACGAAUAGCUUCGUUCUCAAUCGUUCUUGUGUGGUCACGAUCGUAGUAAUAAGUCGUGUCAUUUAGUACGCUUUCUUUCAAAGCUUUUCUUUUGCUUGUCGUUUAUUCUUAGUCGUGAUUGUUUGUUUGCCUGUUUGUGUUGCUUGGUUGCUACGAGUAGAAGAAACGUGGUUCGUCAACAGUGAAGACCAGGAGUUGAGGACCGACAGUCAGAAGUUAGAGAUCAGAAGAAGGAAGUCAAAAGAUUUCUGAGCAGAUAUACACUGGAAAUAAAGGCAAGUGCAGGCACCCUUUGAUCAUAUUGUACCUAUGAACUUUAAAUACAUUUACUUUCCAUUGCAUGUGGCUUAAUACUGCAAACCCUAAGGACAUGACUAGUCUUCUACCAUAUUCCUUGUAUACCUGGGUUCAUACAUGGGUAGUAUAGUGAACAGUAGAUAUGCUUAGUUGCUCUACUCAUCUAAUCUAUAUAAUAAUAAAAAUAAUGAUCUUUCUCAAUAAAUUCUUCAAUGAUGAUAAAUGAUUAAAUGAUGAACAAUGGUCUCUUCGGUGAUGGAGAUGUUGCGGUGCUUGCGAGCAUCGUGGUUUGGUUGAGGACAGGGGGAGCGGGUACUGUUGGUGGUCCGGUUUGCCGGGCGUACCCGUCUCUGCUCUCCGUAAGGACUUAGUCAGGGAGCGGCCCCCUGGGACUUACAGUGCAGCUCCAAGCUAUGUGGCUCUGGCUUGACUAAUUAUCAGGACCUCCGCUGGUAGGGUGUUACUUUCCGGGUAGGCGUAAGGAAUGUAGCUUGGGUAUUCAUAUUAAGAGGUCGGUCAGUUCGGGGUCCCAUUGCUAUGGGCACGGCUGCCGCGCGCCCCGGCAAAAACUUACGAGUGGCAUCCUAUUAGUUGGACCCUGUGAAAGGUCUCGUAGUGAAACCCUGCCUGCUCACCUUGGUAGUGUUUUGGGGAGUCGCGACCCCGGGGAAAUGGGAAUCACGACUUGGAGUGAACGUGCACACCUCUGCAGAGUGUAAAACUGAUAUAUCAGUCGUGCUCACGGUCACAAGCGGCCCAGACCCUCACUUGAUGAGCAAAUUGGAUUCACUGGAUACUUAGAGGCGAAACUUGGUUGAGGUUGCAACCUCGUGCUUUGGCGGAAUGGCUAUUCUGUGUUGGCAGGAUUGCUAUCCUGUGUUCUUAAUUGGGAUUGCUAUCCUAUGACCUUAAUGGGGUUGCUACCCCGAGUUACUAUGUGAGGUUGCUACCUCGAUAAUAAUAAUAAUAUUAAUAAUGAUGAUGAUUAAUAAAAUGGUUAAUCUACUUCCAUCUAAUUAAGGGUUGGGAUGCUUUACCCAUGUUUAGUAAUAGGUUGUUUUAAUAAAAGAAUUGUAAUAAAAGUUUACCAACUUAAAAGCUCACUUGCAGUUAAACAGUGUCAGCUUUUCCUUUGAUUAAGCCUUGCAUGUCAUUAUACUUUCCGCCUGUACUUGUUGAGUUCGACAUGAACUCACCCUUGCUAUUUUCCCCCACACCCCAGUGUGUAGUAAAGUGUUGCUCAGAAGAAGGACAUAGAUGCUAUGGAGUUUUCUAGAAGCUUAUCAGAAGUGCUUGGCGUACGGAGCCCCCAGUCAACCGUCCCUGAGAAGAUUGGAGCCUAAGAAGUUUAGCUAUUGUUUCCACGUACUCUGAUGUUUGUAAGUGUUAAUAUAAAUAUGUUUUCCGCUAUAUAUAACACUGUUUCUGAUAUUUCUAUUCUUUGUUGUAUAUGUGGACUUCCUGGGCACACAUAUGACGACUCUGGUCUUAUUUUAAAAGCCAGGGUGUGACAGAGAGUUUUAUCGAGUCCGUGACCUCCUUCGCAUAGAAGGAAUGUCCGAUGAGACCCUAAAUGGAAGCUCUUUCCAUUCUCUUUAACGGGAAAAGCUAGACAUUGGUACAAACUCAAAAUAGGGAGUGUUCAUGGAGAUUGGAAGGAGUUACAUAAUAGUUUUCUUUUAAAAUAUUUUCCAAUCUCCAAACUAGCGGAACUUCGGCGUGAGAUUAUUUCUUUUAGACAACUGGAAGAAGAAUCUCUUAGGAAAUCAUGGGACCGCUUAUUAACCUUACUCUCACUGGCCCAAAGCUCUCUAUUCCAGAAGAAGUUCUUCUAAUUCACUUUUUUGAGGGCCUUAGUGGGGAAAAUAAGCAAACCUUGAAUACAGCCUCUAGAGGAUCCUUCUAUCACCUACCUGCUAGUGAAGCUUGGAAUUUGAUUGAUUUAUUAAGUGGAAAGUCUCCUAGCUUUUAUAUCCCUGAGAAAGAGACAGAACUAGUUCCUAGACAAGAAGAAGAAGUUUCGAUAGCCAGAUCACAACCACUUCAAUUCCAAACUUUAGCUAUCGAUCCUAAACCAUCAAUACCCCAAAAUUCUCCAAGGGAGGAAGGAAUUCCGACCUUAAAUAUUUCAGGUACUGAUGGUUUAGACUUCUGGUUCCAUAAGAGACCUUCAAGCAGGGAUAAUUCAAAUCCUCGCAAUAAUGGUUCUCUUAGAGAAUGUCCUGGUUCCUGUUAUGAAGAAGUCGAGGAUGACACAUCAAGUGAAGGAGAGCUAAGCCAUAUUGAAAAUUCUAACACCUCCCCUUUCCUGAUCACAAAUUCUAAAUGGCUAGAAUGUGUAGAAUGGAUGGAUAAGGAAGAAGCCUUAAUGAAUUCUGACUUUCUUUCAAUUUCAAAUGGUGAGUUCUUGACUCCCUUUGAAGAUAGGAUUCAUCCAACUAUAGAAGAGGACAUAAGUGAGACCAAUCCAAGAGAAACUCUGAACAUUCAUAUUGGAGACGAAGAUAACAUUAAUGAGCAUGGAAUCUAUUUUAUAGCCACUUUGUUUACUCCAUGCUCAUAUGCAACAUCUUCCCAAUCUAUUGGUCUCUCCAACAUCACCACAUUUGAGAUCUCCAACGCCCUCUUCCUUUCUAUUUAUAAAAACUUUAAAAGGGCGGUUGUCGAUGCAUAUGUCUAUAUAAAUAUUGCAGAUCUCGUUGAGUUGAUCUUGACUUAGGUCAGCGUUGGAAGGAAAACCACUUCGCCGACACAAAUUGAUGGUUUCCCAAGGACAAGCUUGGUGUCCUAAAAUAAGCACUGAUCAGAUCAUAACAUGAGUUUUUAAUUAUUUACAAUAUUACCUUGUGUAUUGAGCAUAUAAGGAUAAUUGUAAAAAUAUUCCUUCGGGUAUUCUUGUCACUAACCUUUACAGGAUUGGAGCAAGAAGAUCGGAUGAAUGACAAGCACAAGGUAUGUCCAACCAAUCAUCAUACAACAUUGAAUUAAAUUCAUCCAAACUUGAAUUCUGCAAAAUUCAAGCUUGGGGGAGUACUUUACAUAAAAACAUCCUUUGCCAUGUUGCUAUGUUGGUUGUCCCUACCUUUAAGACAUGCUCAAUUUGUUAAAUACUAACCACACUACUUCAUCUCCACUUGCGUAGAUCUCUAUAAAUCCUGUCAUGCUACCUUUGUCUAUUUACUAGUAAGUGUUAGUUUGGAUGCACUGCACAUACUUCUAUUGGCUUUUAAAUUAAGCAUGGUGCUUAGGUUAAACAGCCUUCCUUAAUCUGAUUAGACAUGGAGUCUAGUUCGGUUAUUGAACUAAAAAACUGUUUGUGUAGACAUUGCUAUAUUUUUGUCGGACUAACCCCUGCAGAAAAACUUUCAAUAUCGAUUUGGGAAGUCCUGAGAUAAACUCACAUCAGAGACGAAGAGAGUGACACAUGAAGUUUAACAAUUUGCACAAGAAGGACAUAGCUCAUUCAUCAUAGAGAGAUGAUCCAUGGAGGGUGCCACAAACACGAUGCACAACCGCUAAGAAAGGAAAGCUUCCACAAGGUGAUACUAUACCAUCACUCUUCAAGCAAGGUAACAUCUUAAAGUACUUGACUAUCACUUUUAUAAGCUUCUCCUUGGUUCUGGCGUUCAUAUAAAUAAAAGAGACAAACAUGUAUGAUUUACAACUCUAGAUUAACCAACCCAACUGAUUCAACAUGUUUAGUCCUUUAAUCCUUGUUCUUAGUACUACCUCCAUGAUCCCACACUCCUAAUCAUAUGAGCUAAAAUGUUACACAUUCAAUCAUUGAGAGAUAUAAAGAAAAAUACAUAUACAUAGAUAGAUUAUCUUUCCAUAAGGUUGAGCGAUCUGAUCUGACAAAUGUUAUAAGUGCUACACUCAUGAACUUUUCAUCCAUCGACUUUGUCUUACUCACUAUGCUUAGGGUUAGAGAAGAACAAAUACACUUUAGGUUCUAUUGGUGUUUUCCACCAACAGGACCCAUGCACUUGAUCUCUGCCUUGUCUCUAUGAGCAGGUACACUUCGAGCAAAACACGGAGGAGUUUUAUAACUCUCAGACUCUACCAAGUAAAGGACCUGGAUCUACGAGCACAAACACACUGAGCAGGAUACUGCCAACGCCGCACUUCGAACUGCUGGGCAAGCGAAGAGGUGCAGACGUCAAGGUCCGCACCUGAAUCAAAUGACGCACCUGAAGAAUGAACACGGUGAGAAGUCUUGUUAAGAAGACUUAAAACAUUGAACCCUCGCCGAAAGGUAAGAUCGGUAGUUAUCCAUAUUUAUCCUUUCUGCAUUCCAUUUUCCCUUUAAUUAUUUACUUUCCUUAAAUAGAUUAUUAGUUAAUCAUGCUAUCUUGAAAAGAAAAUAAAAAUAUUAAAAAAUACUAAGCCCCAUGUGAGUAUACGAGUGGCAUAAAACCCAUAAGUACCUACACUGUGGUGGCAUAAAAAUAAAAUAAAUAUUUCUUUUCUGCUUUGUAAAAUAAAAAUAUAAAAACAGAGAGUAAUAUUUAUUGAGGAAGCUCAACAUGAUGAAGGCUAGAUAUUUAUGCUAACACUUAAUUAGUUCCACAAGCUUUGUUGUCUAUUUGAGCUCCACAGAAUUUAAGAAUCAAGAAGACUAGCAGACGGAGGACAUUCUAAUCGCUGUCCGAAUGUUGCUGACUUUCAAAUACACCUCUGCCACCUGCUAGCUACAUCAAGAGAAAUUACGUCAAAAUUCAGCUUAGGGGAGAGCACCCCCAUUUAUCUCGCUAAGUAUUUCUACCUAUCUUUAUACUUAUAUUAUAUUAGAAUAUUAAAAUACAUAAACUAUGAAAAAACCAAAUAAAGAUUUUGUGCUUAUAUAUAUAUUUUUCUUAGUGUGUUUAAUAAAUAAAUAAAGUGGCUAUGCUAAUCUGAAUCUUAAUAAUAAAACUCUAGCAUGGAUAUGAUGAAUAGUUGCUCUGUCUAAUUUGCAAAUUUGAAGUUCUCUCUCAAGUUUAGACAUAACUGUUAUAAUUUAAAGCUUGCUCUAGAUCUAAACUUGUGGGAUGAAAACUUGAUCUGAAAUCUAAGUUGUUAACGGAUAUGAUAUGGGAAGGUUGAGCUGCUGUUUAUCUGUUCCUAGAGAUGCUAGAAUUUUGGAGAAUUUUAUCUUUGAAAAAUCUUUAAAAUAUUGCAUGAUGAGUUCCUGUAUGAUGAGAGUUUAAAUUCCUACCACAGCCAUAUAUACAUGCUUGCUAGACUUUGAGCCACACAUUUAUUAUUUACUGCUUAUGAGCAUUGAAUGUGGUCAAGCUGUGUAGACCCUUAGGAGCUUGUCAUGUGGUUAAAUCAAGAUUCACUUGCACAUUCACUCAUAUAUGCUACUUCUACUCCGGAAGUACCAUUCACAUAUAUCCAUCCAUGUCCAUCUCCAGAACCACCCAAAAAUAUUCUACUCCUAAUCAGGGAGAGAAUAACCAAAAAUAUUUCUACUUUUCCUUGUGAAAUAAAUGCUCAAGUUAUCUUGUUACUACCACUUGCUAUAUUAUCUCAUGAGAUGAGUGCUCUAAAAAAAAGAGAGAAAAAAAAAUAAACGAGGAAAUAAAAAGGGGCAAGUGCCCGGAACCUCGAAAGAAAGAAAAAGUGAGACGAGAGGUAAAAAUGGACAAGUGUCCAAUAGUAGAAUUAGGGGUACAAGAUACCCACCUGAGAGGAAAGAAAAAGAAGAGCAUCUCAUUCUCCUCAUAAAGUUUCAAAAAGCAAGGAAGGUAUGUAUCCCCUCAAAAGAGCAAAAGUAGAAUUAGACUUCCACCAUUGUUAUCACCAUCAUCACCAUACACCAUUCAUUCGCCACACAUGCACAUCUUGAUUUGACUUAUUGACUUGUUUCUCUGGAUCCAUGGUUUGACUAUGCAAUAAAUGUCUUGUAAGUAUGUAUUAGCUGUCUCCCACCUAUGAGCUCCAGAUAUUAAAGCCUUAUUAGAGUAGGGUGAGAGAGAAGACAAUGUCACUAUGCCUUAUACCACAAAUACCACAUAUCUUGAGAGAAGGCAUAUACCAUCACUGCCUUGGUAAGGAUCCAGAAAUACCACAAAAGAGAGAUUUAGAAAGUCAUACAAGGAAUCUCUGUGUUUUAUUUGAAAAUCUGCAAAAAACUCCAGAGCUAUAGCUGAUCAAGAAUAAGAGACAUGACACUUGGCUAGACUGUUCUAUCUUUUAACUACUCAAGACAGAAGUGACGGUUACAAGUCCCAUGGUGAAAGGUAAAGUAAGUAAGUUUUAGUUCUUGACAGUUUACUCUAACUCAGUGAUGAGAUCUUAUUUAAAAGCAUGUGUACCAUCAAAUAUUUAAGAUAUUGCAACAACUUCUGAUCCAUUGCUGAGUCUAUCCUUGCUCAGGGACGAGCAAGAGGUAAGCUUGGGGGAGUUUGUUGACGGUCCUUAAGUAUCAAAUUUAAUUAUCAAAUAAACAAAGAAAAGGAUCCAAAUGAAAUCAACAUCUAGACUUAGGGUUUUAUCUGACAGAAUUCCAUGAGUUUUGGUGUUUGUCUAUUUCUGCAGGGGGUUAUCAGGAAAUAUGAAAGAAAGGCCCACACGUCGGGUUUACAUAGAGAUAUUAAUGUGCCGCGCAAUUUUCUACCAUCUAGAAGACUCCAGAAGCCACGGGAACGAACGGGAGGCCGAUCGGGCCCGGGGGCAGGGCGCCCGCCCAGCUACAGUAACCAAUCAGCUUCAACUUCGCGGAUCAUGCUCCACCGACCUAAUACUUCAAGGAAAACCACACGAUCAAUGUCGGUUUAAUCCGACGGCCCAGGUUGACUUGAGGGGACUAUAUAACCAGACCCCCUGGCCCCUGGAGGAGACACCCCUUGAUCAUUAUUCAUUAUUCAUAGACAGAGCAAAAGCUAGGGUUUAGAGAUGAGAGCUCUCCUCUCUUCUCUAAACUAGAGUAGAUCUAGAUAGUAGCAAGAUGGAGAGCGAAGGAGGAUUAGAGGAGAGGCCGGCCUGUCGGUUCUUCCUCCGGUUGUACUUCGUCAUGAUCAAGCUCUAAUCAAGCUUGCUCAUGGGAUGACUCUGGUAAUCUACUUCUAAUUCAUUAUGCAAUUACUAAUUAUGUAUGUUCUGGUUCACAACUCUUUUGAGUAUUCUAAUCUAUAGGACGCUAUAGGUGAGAGUUGUAGUAUAGGUGUAAGCGUGGUGCUUAGACCUAGAUUACUUGUGGAUAUCCCCUGUCUAGCUGGAUCGUGUGGUAGGCCGCGUAGGUGACAGUUACGUUGGUCCUCUAUAGUCCACCUCUCGUUAGCAGGACGGGUAGGGUUUAUCGGCCUAAGGAUAAGCAUCCUUUGUGGUGUACUCUUAUCACGUGGUUCGUCCUAGACAUAGACAUACCCCUUUGAAGUAGAGAAACCAUAGUUAUACUCAAUAUUCUGCUACCAUCGCCCAUAUAUUAGUAUUGCUCUAAUCUCUAUUCCCAUAUUAUCACUCACUAUUAUCUUACCUUUAAUAUUGUUCUUAUUCAAUUCUACCAUCUUUCCUAUUCACACCUAUCUAUCUAUCUUGGUUAAGUUAGAGCAUAGUUGGUUCUCCCGUUUCCCUGUGGAUACGAUAAAACCUUUAACCGGGUAAAAGCUUCAACGGUAUCCGUGCGCUUGCGGAUUAUCUGUGUGCGUAUAAAUACCAUAGUACACUCUAGUGCCAUGCUGGGGAUGACAACCUAGUAUUCAAGUGGUGUUAGCAAGUGUCAACAACCCACGCCACGACAUCAACGAACACCACUGACGUAAGCACGGGGAUGCUAAGGAGCGAGGCUAUAGCGCUCACCGCGGUGGACGCUAUGACAGCGACAAGGACCGGAUGGCUCUAGAGUUGUCGGGGCCUCGAGUCUUUAGUCGAGCGAUCUGCAGCAUGCUGCUGCCCAACUCGUUUCGACCCCCAACUAGUAUCGCCAAGUACAUUGGCGAGACUAAGCUAGAGCUAUGGCUAGCGGACUUUUGGCUAGCAUGCUAGUUGGGAGGAGCUCGAGGAGAUGAUCGAGCCAUCAUCCGAUACCUCCCCCUCUUCCUCUCUAACACUACUCGCAGGUGGCUCGAGGAGCUCCCCACCAACCAAAUCUAUGACUGGGCUGACCUAGUUAGGGUGUUCGAGGCAAACUUCAAAGGAACCUAUAUCCACCUUGGAAACCCAUGGGACCUCAGCAAAUGCAAGCAGAAGGCUAGAGAAUCCCUCCGAGAGUAUGCUCGACGCUUCUCAAAGCAACGCACUGAGCUCCCACAUAACGUCGACCAUGACAUCAUCCUGGCAUUUGUGUCCGGCAUCACUUGCAAGUACUUAGUACGGGAGUUGGUGCGUAAUCACCCGUCGACGAGUUGAUGGAUGCAGUGGCCAACUACACAGCCGACGAAGAAGUUGUUGGCGCAUUCUUCAGCCAUGAAAGAAACAAAGGUAAGGCGCUGGCAGACGACGAUGAGGGCCCUAGCAGAGGACCCAAGAAGAAGAACAAGAAGAAGAAAAAGGCACAGCAGAACAAGCACGAGGCCGUCAACGACGAUUUCAUCGCUAUGGUCGAAUGAAAGAAGUCUCGAGGCCCCCCAGAAGGGGUUGUCUUUGACAAGAUGUUUAAGGAGCCCUGCCCUUAUCACAAAGGAGGAGACAACCACAAGCUUGAAGACUGCCGCAUGCUAAAGAAGUACUUCGACAACCUAGGGCUGAAGAAGGACGAUCAACAGAAAGACAUGGGCGAUGACAAGGGAGGAAGCAAGGAUGACGACAGGUUCCCCACGGUCCAUGACUACUACAUGAUCUAUGGCAGACCCGCAACAUAGCUCACUUUGCAACAACGCAAGAGGGAACGUUGGGAGGUCUUUGCAGCAAGGAUGGCAGUGCCGCAGUACCUCAACUGGUCAAGUACCCCCAUCACCUUCGACCACGACGAUCAUCCUGAUCGGGUGUCUACCCACACAUCGUCGACCCUAUCAUCAUCAACCCUCGACCCUCCAAGGUACUGACGGAUGGCGACAGCAGCCUCAACAUCAUCUACCUCGAAACCCUCGACCUCCUGGGAAUCAAGAGAGCACAGUUCCAACCUAGUGCGGGCGGCUUCCACGGUGUCGUACCAGGGAAGAAGGCCCUACCGGUGGGUCGGAUCGACCUACCGGUCUUUUUCAGCACAGCGGCCAACUUCAGAAAGGAGACCCUCACUUUCGAGGUGGUGGGUUUUCGAGGCACCUAACACACCAUCAUCGGCCGACCAGGGUACACCAAAUUCGUGGCAAUCCCCAACUACACCUACCUCAAACUGAAGAUGCCCAGACCAAAGGGGGUCAUCACUGUCAGCUCCUCCUAUGAGCACGCCUACAAAUGUGAUGGCAAAUGCUUCGAGUAUGGGGAAGCAGUCGAGAACACCACUGAGCUUGCCUCAAGACUCGAGGCCCUUGCUGCUGAGGCACCUGAGCCAAAGCACCAUGUGGGCAGCUUCGAGCCGGCAGAAGGCACCAAGAAGAUCAUGUUCAACCCUGAUAAUUCUGACAACAAGGCGCUGACAAUCAGUGCCAAACUUGACCCCAAAUAGGAAGCCAUGCUCGUCGACUUUCUCCACGCGAAUGCCGACAUGUUUGCAUGGAGUCCCUCUAAUAUGCCUGGCGUACCGAGGGAAGUUGUCAAGCACUCCUUAGAGAUCCGAGCCAGCUCCAAACCAGUGAAGCAACGCCUACGCCACUUCAACGAGGAGAAGCACAGGAUCAUUGGGGAGGAGGUACAUAAGCUUUUGGUGGCCAGGUUCAUCAAGGAGGUUCUUCAUUCCGAGUGGUUAGCUAAUCUUGUACUAGUUAAGAAGAAGAAUCGAAAGAUGAGGAUAUGUGUUGACUAUACUAGUUUAAAUAAAGCAUGUCCAAAAGUUCCAUUUCCUUUACCACGUAUUGAUGAAAUUGUCGAUUCCACUGCGGGAUGUGAAACCCCCUCUUUCCUUGAUGCUUAUUCCGAUUACCAUCAAAUAAAGAUGAAGGAGUCAGAUCAGCUCGCGACUUCCUUUAUCACCCCUUUUGGCAUGUAUUGCUAUGUCACCAUGCCCUUCGGCCUUUGAAACACUGGGGCAACAUACCAGUGAUGCAUUUUGUACGUUUUUGGAAAACACAUAGAGUUGACUGUCGAGGCCUACGUCGACGAUAUUGUGGUCAAUUCUAAGAAAGUAGGGAAUCUCAUACAGGACCUCGAGACCACAUCCGAAUGUCUACGCGCCAAUAGUAUCAAACUCAAUCCCAAGAAAUGUGUCUUUGGUGUACCGCGGGGUAUGCUCUUGGGAUACAUUGUCUCUCAGCACAGCAUCGAGGCUAACUCCGAGAAAUUCUCGGCCAUCACCAAAAUGUGGCCGAUUCGAGACAUCAAGGGCGUAUAGAAAAUCAUGGGUUGCCUAGCAGCACUUAGUCGUUUCAUCUCUCGACUAGGAGAGAAGGCCUUGCCGCUGUAUCGCCUCUUGAAGAAGUCCGAGCACUUCACAUGGACACUCGAGGCCGAGGAGGCCCUCGACAAACUCAAAAGGAUACUGUCCUCCGCUCCAGUCCUGGUGCCACCUCAGCCUGCAGAGCCUCUUCUCCUCUAUAUUCGGCGACAACCUAGGUUGUCAGCGCAGCCGUAGUCGUCGAGAGGCCUGAAGAAGGACAUACGCUUCCAGUACAAUGAUCGGUCUACUUCAUCACUGAGGUGCUCUUGGAAACAAAGGUACGAUACCCGCAUAUACAGAAGUUCAUCUAUGUAGUAAUCCUCGCUCGACGUAAGCUGCAACACUACUUCCUUGGCCACCCUAUCAUAGUGAUCUCAUCCUUUCCCCUAGGCGAGAUCAUCCAAAACUGAGAGGCCACUGGGAGGAUCGCCAAGUGGUCGGUCGAGCUCAUGGGGAGGCCCCCACCUACACACCCUGCAAGGCCAUCAAGUCACAAGUGCUGGCAGAUUUUGUUGUAGAAUGGAGCGACACCCAGCUUCCCCCAACACAAGUCCAAGCAGAGCUCUGGACAUUGUACUUCGACGGGUCGCUCAUAAAGACAGGAGCGGGUGCGGGCUUGCUCUUCAUCUCGCCCCUUGGCGUUCACAUGCAGUACAUAGUUUGUAUUCAUUUUGUGGCCUCUAACAAUGUCGCAGAGUAUGAGGCUCUUGUAAAUGGGCUAAGGAUUGCCAUCGAGCUCGGGGUCCGGCGCCUCAAUGUUCGAGGCAAUUCGCAACUCGUCAUCGACCAUGUCAUGACGACCUCGAGCUGCUACAACCCCAAAAUGGAGGCGCACUGCAAGGAAGUACGGAAGCUGGAGAACAAAUUCCACGGCCUCGAGCUGAACCACAUCGCCUGACGGUACAACGAGGCAGCUGACGAGCUCGCCAAGAUAGCGUCUACUCGAGUACUGUUCCACCGGAUGUAUUUUCAAGAGAUCUACUCGAGCCGUCCAUCGACCUUGGCGUGGGGGCGGGUGUCGAAGCACUGAUACCUGAGCCAGCCGACGCCAUCGAAGCUCUUCUGGCAACCGCAGACGUGACAGAGGUCGAGUAGUCAUCUCGAUGGCUAGGCCGAUCGUUUGAUUGGUGCACCCCCUUCCUGGACUGCCUGAUUCAAGGUGAGCUACCAGAAGACUGGGCUGAAGCCCGCCGCAUCACUCGACGAGCCAAAUCUUACGUAAUCUACGGGGACGACAAGGAGCUAUCCCGAUGGAGCCCGAUAGGGAUCCUCCAAUGCUGUAUCACCGUCGAGGAAGGUCAAAAGUUUCUCGACGAUCUGCACUCAGGGGCUUGUGGCCACCACGCGGCCCCCAGGACCCUCGUUUGCACUUUUUGACAAGGAUUCUAUUGGCCAAUGGCUGUCGCCGAUGCCACCGAGCUCGUUCACUCAUGUCAUGGAUGCCAAUUCUAUGCCAAGCAAACCCACCUCCUGGCCCACGCCAUGUAGAUGAUCCUCAUCACUUGGUCAUUCGCAGUCUGGGGCCUCGACCUCGUGGGACCACUCCAAAGGACGACAGGAGGGUACACGCACCUGCUGGUAGCCAUUGACAAGUUCUCCAUGGAUCGAGGCUCGACCCAUUACCAACAUCUGCUCUGAGCAAGCCGUCAUGUUCUUCACCGACAAAAUCCACCGAUUUGGGGUGCCCAAUGUCAUCAUCACUGACAACAGCACACAGUUCAUAUGCAAGAAGUUCCUGGACUUUUGCGAUUGGCAUCACAUCCGUGUGAACUGGUCUGCGGUCGCCCAUCCUUGAACUAACGGCCAGGUCAAGCGUGCUAACGGCAUGAUCUUAUAAGGGCUCAAGCCUAGAAUCUACAAUCAGUUGAAGAAGUUUGGCAAAAAGUGGGUCGAGGAGCUUUCUUCGGUCCUAUGGAGCCUAAGAACGACACCCAGCCAAGCCACGAAAUUUACUCCAUUCUUCAUGGUCUAUGGCUCCGAGGCCGUGCUCCCAACGGACCUCGAGUAUGGGUCACCUCGACUCAAGGCGUACAACGAGCAAACAAACAAGAGAACCCGAGAGAACGCGGUCGAUCAACUCGAGGAAGCUCGAGACUUGGCCCUCCUCAACUCAGCAAGAUACCAGCAGAAGCUUCGACGCUACCACAACAAGCAUGUACAUAAGAGGGACCUGCACAUUGGUGACCUCGUCUUACGCCGGCAGUAGAGCAAUCAAGGACGCCACAAGCUAAACCCACCUUGGGAGGGUCCAUAUGUGGUGGCGGAAGUUCUGAAGCCAGGAACGUACAAACUCGCAUAUGACAAAGGCGCGGUCUUCACCAACGCUUGGAACAUCGAACAGCUACGUCGCUUCUAUCCCUAGAGCUUUGAAGCUUUGUACUUUUCGCAUUUUUGUACCACCAAAACACUUUGAAUAAAUGAAAGUAUUUUUUCAACAACGCAUGAUGUUACUAUUAAAUCUCGACAAUAGAGAAAGUCUCAACCAUGACUCAUCAUAGUCAAAACUCUCUCGGAGGCUAGAAGGUGGAACCCCACGAGCUCUAAAAAACUCGAACAUUUUUUUUCAAAAGCUCAACAUUAUUUCGUUCCUAAAAAGUUCUGCGCAGUCAAGCAGUAAACACCUCGAGCCCCUUUAGGGCCAAGAGACGUCGAGCCUGAGGAUCCCUACGCCUCCGAGCUACGGUAACUCUACUCGCUCCCUUACCCUCGAGGCAAUCGAGCCUGUUUUAGAAACUUAACUGAGGAAUGGAAACUUAGGCAAUAAAGAAAUAAAAGAAACUCGAGCAUGAAAAUAACAAUCGCUUACAGAAAUCACAAAGUUUUAGGGCCACCUAGGCCAUAACACCGUCAAGUAGCAAUAACUAACUUAUUACAUUGGGUCUAGAUACCCAGAUAAGGCUCACAUGCCUUGGUCAUCAUUUCCACCGGCUCCAUCCUUGUCUCCUUCAUCUUUGCCCAUGCCAGUCUCUGGGGGAAGCACCUCUGGCUCGAACAACACCGCCAGUCGCUCUCCAGGACCCUCAGCUUCAUCAAUCAAGGCGUGGAGCCUCUCCUCGUUCUCUACAUCGGUCUUGAUGAUGUCCAUGACAAAGCCAUGAGACACCACCUCCAUAUCAUAAGAAAAACCUGAGCAGGCGAUCGCCAUAGCCCGCUUUACCCCGGUGUGGAGGGCAUCCCGGACCCGGUCCCUCACUGUGGCGCCUAGUAAGCACAACUGAUCCACGAGAGCAUCGCCCCGAGCCGCCUCCCCUGCCUCAUUCGCAGGCUUGAGCUCCCAGGCAGCGGAGAGAUCGUUGAUCGCGGUCCUCAGCCGACCCAUCAACAAGACCUCCCCCUCGAGCUCGGCCUUAAGGGUCUGAGAGGCAGUCCAGGCCGCCAGCAGGCCAUCCUUAAGCUCUGCAGAAGUCAGCGUGAGAGUUAAUUCGCUGAAAGUAAAUAUGAUUAGAGAAACAAGUGCAAAAGAGCAAGAGCUUACCACGGAUCUUCUCCUCGAGAGACGUGUUCUCACCAACUAAGUCAGUGUUGUCCCUCUCGAUCUCCUUGUAUGAGCGGGCCAUUUCCAUCUUCUCGACCCGCAAGUCCUCGAUCAGUUUCCCCGACUAAAGGAUGGUGUCUUCCUUCUCUCGUAGUGCUCCCUUUAGACGAACGACGUCGUUAGAUAAGCUAUGAGAGCGGGUCUGCUCCUUCUCGAGCUCCUCGUGUGCCUUCCUCUCAUUCCUCUCCACGGCGUCCCGAGCGAUCGCAUUGCUGAGCAGCUCCUCCUUCACCCCGGCGUAACUGUCUUUGGAGGUAGCAAGGUCCGCCUCGAGCUUCCUGAUGUGCUCGGUGAGCAAGACCAUGUUAUCCUCCACUGCUUUCUGGUGCUCCCUGGCUUUGGCAGCUUCCUGCUUGGCUUGGCCAUGAUGACGAUGACAAAUUGCAUGUGUCAGUUACGAAAAUUCAGAAGACCUAGAUUUCACGUUCUUGUUUUCAGACAAAAUGCAAUGCACUCCAGGAAGUAAAAAAAUAUUGAGAUAUGUGAACGCAGAAGAGCCCACAUGAAUGCUCAAGCCUUUGGAUGCAACCAACAUGGCAACAUGAUAGGUAAAGCUUCUAGAGAAUAACCUUUUUUUUCCCCUGGAAUUGAGACACGUGCGUAAACGUUUUGUGGGUAAACAAAAUUUUCUGGUGGAAUUAACCAGCCUGCCUCUGCAGGCUACAAAAUAAAUAUGCGUUUCUAAUAGGCAACGUUAUUAGUAACUCUAUUAUACAAAUAAAUUAGUAAAUUUAUGUGAAUAAUAUCUCUUUAUAGAACUACUAUGUAAAGUUCUGACGUUUUUUCAGAACUGAAUGCACAGAAACAUCACCUCCAUAUAUCAUUAAGCCCUUGUUUGGAUGUAAUCGGAUUCCAUUGAUCCACAUGACAUGUGUUAGGGUGGAUUGGAGUAGAACUUGAACUAAAUUACAUCUCAAUCCACCUCAAAACAUGUGGUUGACGUAAAUCCAACAACAUCCAAGGAUGAAAAAAAAUACAUGAUUAUGGAGGCUGUAAUCAUGAUCCCUUUGUUAAUUAGUCAUACAUGGAAUCAAUUAUCGAGCAUAGCAUCAAACAAUAAUUAAUGUCUUUCCGGAAAGGCUAAAAUAAAUAUAGAUUUCAUCUUUUUUCAAUUAUAUGGUGUUUGUGACAAGAUAAUUAAUCUAAAAAUAAACUUUUCAUGCAUUUAUAGACAGAGGGAUAAGGGUAUCACAUAGCAACGAACAUGUAUAGUUUUCUUUGUAACUGAACAUAAGUUAGUGCACAUGAGACCUACGUCAAGAAUAUGCUAGCCGUCUUGUUCAUAUCAGUGUUCGAGUGCAUUGAAACAACUAAGAAUAUAUUGAGUUGUCGGCAAGAAAUUGAAAUGACGCAUCCGAUGAACCUUAGCUUUGAGAUGUUGCACAUGCGUAGGAAGAAUUAACAAUAUUAGUUACUUGUAUCAUGACGUCUAAAGACAGCUUGGCAUUUUGCAUAUAUUCCCAUGGAACAAUACCUAUAUAUUACUUAAGUCACAUGUCAUCCUCAGUAAGAUUGAUGCCCUGACCAUCUAGAAAUACACACAGAUAUGGUCGGGGUUCCUACACCUAACUGUCAAAGUAUGAUUUCUCGUGAAGAAAUUAAAGGUUCUCAAGUGUACUUGAGAGAGGAUCCAUUUAUAUGUUACUAAAAAAACUAAGUAACAACUAUUAUAUUUUGACAUUAUUAUGAUCAGUUUUUUUUCGAUGCAAUGAUUCUGAAAGUAUAUGUAUAGAUUAAGGCAAUAUGUCCCUUAAUGAAUAGCUUUUCCCCAGUAAACAGGGGUGGAGGUAUGUUAUAUAUACUUAGGGAGUGCAAAUGCAUCCCUAAAAAAAUAAAAAAUAGUGAUUUUAUCAACAUUCUACCGUAUAUGCAUCAAUCCACAAGAAAAAUGCAACCCUCUAAUUCGCUCUAACUAUGUUACCACCAAUAAAUACGAUCCAAUGUCAAUGAAUUUCUUAGCUACGUGCACAAUAUAGAAUAACUAAAGCAUUCAAGAAACAAAAUACAUCUAACUGUGUCCACUUUCCUGGAUCAAUUUCCUGCUAUGCAAAUAAUGUGAGUAUAUGACUAGAACCUAUGUCAGGAGGAGAAAUAUGACCCUGGAAAAGGGAAUUAACUUUUCAGUAUCUAGAAAAAAAUUACUUAUUACAUGAAAAUAAUGUCGUCAUGCGUUGGAAUAAUUCAGAAAUUUAAUUAACUAAACUAAUCAAACUUUAUUUAGGUACCGUAGAUAAGAAGAACAAAUUUGAUGUUGCUGUCAAAAAUGAUGUUGCCGUCAAAUGGAAGUAGACACCUUAUGCUGCUUAAAAGAAUAGUGAUACGGUUGAUAGAAAGAAAAAUGCUUCGUCAUCAGUGCAGUAUGAACGUAUGAUUCAGUGAAUGUAAGAUUCAUGUACUUUUAAAAUACGCCCUAAUGAUGGAGGAAGUAUGGAGAAAAAUGAUGUUGCCAUCAAUUAAAGUUUGACACCUUGUGCUGCUUAAAAGAACAGUACGUGAUAUGGUUAACAGAAAGAAAGUGCGCCGUCAUCAGUGGAGUAUGAAGGUGUGAUUCAGUGAAUAUAAGAUAUGGACUACUUACUGCAUAAGAUUCAGUCUAUCUGUCGAUAUCUCUGGCCUUUUAAAUUUUAACUUUUAGAACCUACCCAACUAUUGAUAUACCUCUGGCCUGUCAGAGCAAAUUAACCACGUGCACCGCCAUUCUUUUGGUAGCUGAUUGGAAAUAACAGCUGGAGAGGCACGAAGGUUUUUAAAAAUUAAUCAGUGGCCAUUGUCGUCAACAAAAAGUAUCAAAGUUGUGUGCAUGAACAAAGAAAGGCAUUGCUAGGGCCUUGUUUAGUUCUAAAAAGAUUUCGGAUUUUGGUACUGUAGCAUUUUCGUUUGUUUGUGGUAAAUAUUAUCCAAUCAUAAACUAACUAGGCUCAAAAGACAAACUGUGCAAUUAGUUUUUAUUUUUUUCUAUAUUUAGUGCUUCAUUCAUAUGCUACAAGAUUUGAUGUGACGACGAAUCUUGAAUAGUUUUUGAAUUUCGUGAUGAAGGUGCUAGUCGCGGCCUUUUCAUGUUUGAUGCGCAUGAUAGAAGCAUGACAGGCCUAAAGAUCUGUCAACUCCUCCUUCCCUUAGUAUAGUAUGGGUAGGUUCUAGGUGUUGCACGAAGGCUUAAUUACGAGUUGAGAGCUCCUAGGUGUUGACAGAUCUUUAAGCUAACAUCCCCGAUCCCCCCACCCCACCCCCCACACACACACACACCACCACCACCGCCACCAAGAGAAAAUGUAAUUUUAUAUCUAGUCUAUUUAAAUUCAGUGAAAAAAUAAUGUAUAGAAAAUAUUAAUAAUAUACAUUGAAAAUAUAUUUCAUGAUAAAUCUAAUGAUACAUGUUUAAUGAUAUGAUAAAUAUUAGUCAAACUUAAGAUGGCAUUGCAUCCUUUCUAUACAUCCACCUCAAGAUAACUCUCCCUUUGUACUUUAUUCAGAGAUCGACAUAUACUAUGGUUUACCAUUUCAAAACUUCUCCAUCAUCGUAACAUUUGUACUUUAUUCUGUUGAUUGAUGAGGAAUACACAGAUAUGAUGCUGCUAGGUACAGUUGAAAAACAUGCGAAAGAUGCUUUCCCGUCGGCAAGGCCCCGGCCCGAGCCCAGCUGUCGCAGCCCAUCAAUCAAAUAAUCUAAAAGCUAACGCAGGGAGGAGAGGCCCGGGAACUUCCAGCGAUAGGAUCGGAGGCUUGGCCCACAUAUAUUGAUUUGCGUAUGUAUUUUUCGUUCUUUCGUUUUUUGUAUAUGUUCUAAUCCUUGAGAAACUAUCACGUAAGUUUUAUGAUUUUACACGUCUUUCAUUCCUCAUUUAGAAAUACUAGUUCCACACUUCGUAAAAGAAAAAAUCAACAUUUUGGGAGAAAAAUCAUUGCCUAUUGUACUUAAAUGUAGAACUGGUUCACCAAAAAAUUUAUAUAACAAAUCAAAAAAAAUGAAAAUAUUGUGUUUCGAGAGGUAACUAAAAAGGAUGAUGAACCUACUUCAUUGCACAAUAGAUUGUUUCUGUGCUAUAUGAUCCAAGAAAUAAAUGAACAGAUCAAUCUAAUGUGCCCCUUCAUGAAUAGAUUUUUGCUUAAUAAAGGAGUAUGUAGUUUUGUUGGACCGGUAGAGAAAUAUUACAAAGCAAAUGCUACUGCAAAAUUAAUUUUAAGAAAUAACCUUCUAUUUUCGGAGACCAACACAAACAUCUUAGCCUUUCUAAAUGUGCUAGCAUUUUUCGAUGUAGACAACUAAACAGGCCACCGAUAAAAAUAAAGAUUUGGCUCAUUCUAAAUCCUAACGCAUAUAAUCUCUCCCACAACCAUCAAAUAUGUUUCCCCAUACAUCUCUCAUAAUCCUAGACUUCUCUCCCACAUAUCUCCCCUCCUCGUUUCCCCCCUUGACCUCUUCACCUCCACCGACUUUGGCUCUUGAUGACCUUAGCUUGUACGGUUGUACCUUCGAGCAAGGGGCACACAAAUUUGACAGGAUGUGUCAUGCAUGUGGACUAGAAAUUGGUUCACCAUUAGUCUACAUGUUUGGAUGGGAUAGAGCUGUUUUAACUACUAGUUGUUAUAUGGUGUGCUUUUGGAAAUAAUACAUUUGGAGCUUGUCUAGAUCGCUAAACAUAUUCAUCAAUUGUAUAAAAUUGACCGUUCAUAGGGGUGAUCUUGCAACCACCCAUUUACACCCAUCAUUUAGUUUUUUUAUGCCAACCAUCACUAAAACUGGGCCAUUUCUAGUGGUGGUUUGCUUAAGGAGAUUGUCACUAGGAACCUAUUUUCAAUGACCAUGCGCAUGGUUGGGGCUACCUUAGUACUUUCAAUGGCCCAGCUCAAUUAAACCAUCUCUAAGAAAAAUAUACAUGCUUCUAAAAAAUCAUUUGUAUAGUAUUGUGUUAUCAAUCGGUCCAUAUUGAUCUAGCUAAGUUUUGCAAGUCUUCUACCAACUAAAGCUUUUAUUUGGCUUUAUAUUUUAUCUUCUUUUCUGUUUAAACAAAAAGGUCUCCUGCUUUAUUUCAUGGUGAAAUAAAAGCAAAUAUGAUCCAUUUGGUUUAUGAUGCGCCCGCCAAACUGAUUACAUUCCAACGAGUACUAUAUGGGUUUUUUUAAGGAAGUUGGAGGGACCGAAGUCCCUGCAGGAAUUUAUUAAAAUGACAGCCAGUACAAGGGGGACAAAGGGAAUUAGAAAACAAGCCCACAAAAACGAAAGGACAGAAACAUCUACCUACUCGUUUUCUAUUUUGUUCAGUAGGGGUAAAAUGGUCUUUCUACUCCUGACUAAACAUUGUUAGCUACCCGAAAUUGAUAGAAUAGAGCCAAAUAAAAUUUUUUUUAGACCAUAGAGCCAAAUUCGAAAAAAAAAGAACCGUAUACCUAAGAUAAGUUUUUUCGAGAGCCAUACACCUAAUUCUUCCUAUAGUAUUUCCAAUGUUCUGUUUUCUACCAGGCCUGUUUUUAUUUCAAUCCGGGAUAGGCUCGCUCAGAACAUCCAUAUAGAGGCCCAAUUUGGCCCAAGACGGCCACAAACCCUCUGCUUGGUAAGGUAAACGCACCUGUGACUUGUCUCAUAUACGUGAAGAAGCCCAAGCAGCAGCCAGCAUUUUUCUCCUUUGUCAGCAUGUACGAUCAAUCCCAGUUUUUUAGUGCCAGUGCCAUAUUAAUAUAUUUUAUAUUUAUGGACGCCACGUAUAUUAGUUUGUAUAUACAUACCUUGACGCCAUGCGUGUAUGGCACUGUUGGGUGGACUAUUAGUAAUUACAUUACUAACUAAUUCAGCUAUACGUUAUUAGUGAUUACCAGCUAUAUAUACACCACGUACGCUUGCACACACACACGUAUUGACGUGUAUGUAUACUUACGUAUUAGCUUCUUCUCACGCACUUAGCAAAAGCACAAGCAACAUUUUCAUCACAUAUUAAAUUCCUGAUUGCACACAUAAAUAUAUGCAUACAAUUGAGAAUUUUAGAACAAAAUCUCGUUAAACAGAGAAGUAUGUCAGAUGCGCAUGCAAUUCUGGCUUAAGUGUCCUCGUACCAUUCAUUUCCGUCUAUUUUCAGAUUUACCUGUUUUCGUAUUACUGUUUAUUUCGCUAUCAUUUUCACUUCCGGUUGUUUUGCUCCCAUUUCUGUUUUUGUCAAAAAAAAUAUAAAAACAGAAACUGUAGAGUUUUUGGUCCAUUUUUAUCCUUAGCUAAGAGAUAGCAAGGGCUGCCAGGCUCUUUAUGAAGCACGCAUUUCGUUUGUUGCUUUUUUUCACCUUUUUGCUUUUGUGUACUCUUAAGCAGAAUGAAAUUUGUAAUUUGCGUACCACCACAAUGGGUUCUGUCAGUCAGCUGCCCCCAAAAACAACGAACAAACAUACAUACAUAACAAUGAACAUGUAGCAAAAAAAAACAAGAUCGAGUGCAUAAGCUCAUAUAGAGGGAACAAACUAAACUGCACUAAAAUCAUGUAAUCAGCAUUACAUAAAAAAUGACGCAAAGCAAAAAAAAAAAAAAAGAAUAGGUGUACAGCAAGUAGCAGCUAGCACCUACAAAUGCAUGCUACAACUUCGUCCUCAUGGGAGGCUUUAUUCAUAUACCCUAUAAUGGCUAAUGGAGACUCUUCAUCGAUCAUUCAGUUGUCUGCUGCUGGUGGGAUGUGCGGCGGGUUAGGCUUUGGUUUGGGCUCCGGCUUGGGUUCAGGCUUUGGUUUUGGUUCAGGCUUAGGCUCCGGUUUGGGUUCUGGUUUCGGCUUGGGCUCGGGCUUUGGUUCAGGUUUAGGCUUAGGCUCAGGCUUAGGUAGUGGUUCGGGUUUUGGUUCCGGCUUCGGCUCAGGCUUAGGCUCGGGUUUUGGUUUGGGCUCGGGCUUAGGCUCUGGUUUGGGUAGUGGUUCUGGUUUUGGUUCUGGCUUGGGCUCGGGCUUAGGCUCUGGUUUGGGCAGUGGCUCUGGCUUUGGCUCUGGUUUUGGCAAUGGUUUGGGCUUUGGUUCCGGCUUGGGCUCAGGCUUAGGCUCUGGUUUUGGUAGUGGUUCAGGUUUUGGUUCCGGCUUGGGUUCAGGCUUAGGCUCGGGCUUUGGUUCCGGCUUGGGCUCAUGCUUAGGUUGCAGUGGUUCGGGUAUGGGUUCUGUGCUUGGGUUCAGGCUUAGUGCUCGGUGCUUUGGGUAUCGUGCUUGGGCUCAGGCUUAGGCUCCGGUAUCGGCAUCGGUUCGGGCUUUGGUUCUGGCUAGGGCUCAGGCUUAGGCUCAGGUUUUGGUUUUGGCAUGGGCUCAGGUUUUGGUUCAGGCUUAGGCUCCGGCUUAGGCUCAGGCUUAGGUUUUGGUUCUGGCUUGGGCUCCGGUUUUGGCAGUGGUUCAGGCUUGGGCUCAGGCUCGGGUUUUGGUUCAGGCUUAGGCUCAGGUUUUGGCUUUGGCUCAGGCUUUUUUGGCUUUGGCUUUGGUUCAGGCAUAGGCUUGGGCAUCGGUUCGGGUUUGGGCUUUGGCUCUGGCUUCGUUA